ACUGACUUGUUUUGGCAACUUGAUUGUAGGACGACGGCCCGAGGCCUGGACAGGGUGGCCCGCCCCGUGCCGGCGGCCCUGGUGCCCCUGGUGGUGCGCCUGCUGGCGCCGGUGCCGUUCCUGGUGCCCCUGGUGGUGCGCCUGCUGGCGCCGGUGCCGUUCCUGGUGCCCCUGCUCCCCGUGUCUAGUUUGGGAAUGCUUUGUCCGUGAUAUGCGCCAGCCCUAGUUUUACUCGUAUCUGGAUAUUGGACUAUUCUACCUAGUUUUUGCUGUAAUCGGUUGUACUGAAAGUUGGUUGGUCAAGCACAAUUUGUGAUCAGGUCUUUAAUGUUUUGACAAUUUCGCUGCUAUCUAUAUCGGAGAGAACCUUUUGGUUUGUCUGGGGAUUGCCCCUUGUGGUUUUGUGUUCAUGCAUCAUAUCAUCUUGUAGUUCUUUCAUGAUGAGACUGUAGUCUGCGAUCUAUCUUCUCUUGUUAGUUCACAAUGCUGAGUUAAAAAUCACUCGUGAAUUGGUAUUUGAUAUAGCCUUGUAGAGAUAACAUAUCGCAGAUUCCAACAAAGAGCACAGCCUCUCUUUAUAAGACUGGAUGGCCGGUGCUGUGUCUUUUCCUUAACCAGAGCCACUACCACAUUGUGCUCCGGUUACAGGAGAGGAGCCGGUUGAACAAUGGCUAGGGGAGGAGAGAAAUGUUUGAUGUACGAAUUACUUUGAAUAACAAAGACGAUCAAAUGCUAGAGGCAAAUCCAAGUGUCGCUAACUGUUGGAUCUUCCCAGUACUUCGUUAGAUUCUGCAACGUGCAAUAUCUAGAAGAUUCUAUGGUUGAGCUCAAAUCAUAUGGACAUUUUGCACGACUCCUCCAUGCUAAUACUCUCCUAACUUUUUUUUGACAACUCCUAACUUCUUUUUCUAUCCAAACUAUCAUCCAUUUUUUACUUCGUAUUCAAGGCUAUGGACCUUCAUAAAUCAUAUUUAUCUUCCUUUGUGGAUAGAACAUUAGCUUUGAGAUAGCCAAGAAAGACACCUAACAAAACAGAUCAAUGCAAUUCAUGCAUAUGUCUCACACUCCUAUUUACCUGCUAUAGCCUAUAGUUAAUACAAUACUAUGUCUAUCUUUGACUGUAAUUGACUAUCUGAACUAAUUUAGAGCAUGGUUGAUAAUAGGGCUAACAAUCGGAAAGAGUUGCCAUGUCAUUUACAGCCAACCUAAUAGCUGGCAUGUACAAUAGUACAUUUUAAAUGUGCACUACUCUAUGAAUAGUCUCACAAAUUUUCUUGGGGCUUGUGCUGAAAUUGGCUACUAAAAGAGUCCGUUUCUUUUCUCUCUGCUCCAACUAAGCAAAGAAUAAUAUUUUAGUCCUUACAAUCUCCUUAUGUUCAAAACGUCACUUUGUAGGACGGGUGCUGGAGCCCUAUAUUUUGAAUAGUGGCAAAAUGAUUUUUUAAAGUUUCAAAAAAUUCUGAAAAUAAACUAACAUGCUUAUAUCAAUGUAUAUUAUACACAUGUAAAUUUUGAAGCUGAAAUAAGUAACCAUGUGAGUUGCACAAAAAUGACAAAAUCAUGAUUUUGGAAAGAUGAAUAGUGCAUGCUUAUAUCACCGUUUUGUCAUUUUUGUAUAGCUUACAUGUUACACAUGUGUAAUAUAAAUCGAUAUGAUCAUGUAGAAUUUUUUUUCAGAAUUUUGAAACUUUAAAUGUGAUUUUUAAAUUAUCUAAAAUAAGGUCCUCCAAUACACCCGGGUUCCAAAACUCCACUGUCCCUUAUGUCACCUUAUUGUACUUGCUCUAAUACUAUGUCUGGAACAACAUCAUAUGUACAGCGCGUUGACAUGGAAGUUUGUUACUUCGUCAGAGAGACAGUGCCUCAAUGAUAAAAAUGCACAAUCUGUUCUCUGAGAAGGUGUUAACAUGUAAGAUGUAUCUAGCUUUCAAGGGAAAUUCUGACAUGGCACGUUGUAUUUUCCUGCUUUCCUUUAUGAAGCCCUGGGUUCUGUAACACAUCCAUACUUAAAUUUGUGUACUCAUUGCCCUCAAUCAGCGUAGAAGUUUAUUUAAGACAUGAUUUUUGCUAAUACAGUGCAAAUACACUUAGCAAAAAAAAGAAAACACCACACAGUAUCCUUCUAGUAGCCUCUAAAUGAUAGAAUCUCCUCUCUGACAGGGAAAUGGUUCGGUGAUCCAAAUCUUAGAUACAACAUGGCGUCAUAUCCUACCCUAACAAGGACUUCAAGGCCUAAAAGCCGAACCACUUGGGCAUUUAUCUUCCCCUGAACCACGCACUCCAGGCUAGGUCAUCGCCUUCCUACGGCUUGAUGAAGCGAGCUAGCUUCCCAAGGACGCCUCUCAGGUUGCGUAUGCCGGCCCCCGUCUUGGAGCUCACCAUCAUCUACAAGACAUGUAUCACGGUAUCAGAAUGACAUGGUUCAGGAGUAGGUAUAACAGAUUGGGGAUGAUCAGAUGGUUCAGGAGCUCACCACGGGCUUUACGACUGACUUGUUCUUCUUCAGGCUCUGCAGUUGAGGAAAUGAGCCGUUUCGGUUCAGGUCAGGCAAUGAAACAAAACACGCAUGGGAGGAAGGUGGGGAGGGUGUGUAUAGGGAGGGAGCGAACCUCUUGGAUUUCCAUGGCACGGCGAGCAACGUCUAUAGGGAAAACCAAAUCAGUCUUGGUUAAUACAAUCUGGUAUGGUGUCUUGUAUCUGCCACAGUGUAUAUGGAGAUGUCAUUCACAAAGUCGAACGUAACACCACUAUGUAUAUCACCCCAAACAUAAGCAAAUGCUUUGAUCAAACAAUGUCUUCCAGGAAAAAACUGCAUGACUCUAAUCAAUGAAUUUGAUCGCACUGACAGCACAGUUUUUUUUAACUUUGCACUGACAGUGAUGUACUUCAAUUAAGAUUGUGAAGGUGCAAAACCACUUAACAUUACUACAUUAGAGAAGUAGAUAUGAACACUGCCUCUAAGGAUUUAAGCAAACCUUUCCAUUAGAUCUAUAAGCUCGUAGUCCAAUGGUUUCAUUCCACGUUUAGUGUGCACAAGAAGGCACACUCUAUCCAGACCAACCCUGUUUGAAACAUACUCCUUCACCUACAAAUUUCAGAGUGCUUGUAAGAACCAAGAUCAAUAACCAAUAGGCACGAUCUUUAAAAAAAACAAAAAAACCAAUAGGAACAUCUUGAAGACAAGUGAUUUCUUUGACAGACAGAUCCAAUGGUUCAAAUUAUCAAGAAUACUGCAACGGGACUAGGAGAUAGUUCGUCUAAUUAAGCGAUCAUUAACAUGCAUUGUGAAGCUGCUUGAUUGUUGAUUUGAAAUUGUGCCCAGUUGGACAUCCAGACCAGAUGUUCCUUGUUAUUAAAACAAGUAAUCAGCAGCAGUGCUCAUAAAAGUUAUAGAGCAAGAGCCAAGGAAUUUCAUUACCAAUGUACAGCAGUUAUGUGAUCUACAAGUAUGUACAUUUCAGAGUUAAGAAGAACCAAGAAUAACCAUAACCAAUAGGCACAUGUUAAAGCUUAUGUCUUGAAGAGUUAAAAUAAAACAAGAGAUUUCUUUGAUGAACAGAUCUAAUGGAUGUAUUCAAAUCAACAAGAAUACUGCAUGGGGGGCAGGAGAUAGUUUGUCUAAUUCUGUGAUCAUAAACACGCGUCAUUGAUUUGAAAUUGUGCUCAGUUGGAUAUCCAAACCAGAGGUUCAUUGUUAUUAAAACAAGUAAUCAGCCACAGCGCCCAUACAAGUUGUAGAGCAAGACCUCAAGGAAUUUCAUUACCAAUGUACAAUAGUUUUGUGAUCUACAAGUAUUUACAAUAAAAUUUAGGAUUUUAAUAAAUUAUCAUAGACCAGAGGUCAGAAACCCCAAAUUCAUGCAAGGCGACAUGAUUCAUGAAAAGGCUAUAAUGCAGAUUGGAUACUUACAAGCUCCUGCCAAGACUCUUUAACUUCAUCCUUUGCAUAAGCAAAACCAUAUCCGGGCAAAUCAACAAGGCAUAACUUUGAUGCAAGCUUGAAGAAAUUUAUACUCUGUGAUUCAGAAGUAAUAUGUUAUACAUAUAAACAAAUUAAGUGUUUGAACACUGAUAAAUAAGUAGAUGAAGAUAUGCAAGUGUUAAUUGUUUAUUCAACUUACUUGAGUAAGUCCUGGUUUAUCUGAUGUCCGGACAAUACCCCACUGUCUUGUAAGUGCAUUAAGUAGUGAUGAUUUCCCAACGUUUGAUACCCCUUGAAUUUCAGUAAAGUAAGAGAAGUUGUUAGGGCAGAUUUCAAACCCUUUAAGAAACAGGGAGUGAUAUAGAUAGGUUGAAUACUAUAUUUGAUUCAGUAAAGAUUUUACAGAAUCCAAAGAAAGCAUUGUUUUGACAACAAAACUAGCAUAAAAUAUCUAAAGAAUACAUGCAAAUUGUUAUAUUUCCUAUACAAAGUUUCAAACACAGCCAGAGAAGGAGCAGCACUAAAUGUCAUAUAUGACACAAAAAAUAUCAUGUCUGUUAUCUGUAAAUAUUUACUUAAAAAAAAGGGCAGCCCGGUGCAUGUAGCUCCCGCUUGCGCAGGGUCGGGGAAGGGUCCGACCACUUUGGGUCUAUAGUACGCAGCCUUUCCCUACAUUUCUGUAAGAGGCUGUUUCCAGGACUUGAACCCGUGACCUCAUGGUCACAAGGCAGCAGCUUUACCACUGCGCCAAGGCUCCCCUUCAUCUGUAAAUAUUUACUUAAAGACUUAAAUUAAGCACGAGGUUAUGAUUUGACAUUUGUCCUAGUAAAAAGAGCCUUCUACAAGAUGUGAAGUUUCUCUUUCACCAGUAGUUCAAUUGAUAAUACAUAACCAAACAUUUUAGAAGCUCAGUGAUAUAGAGUUGAGCUGAGCAGAACAUAAGAUGGCUGAAAGUUGAAACAUACAACAAAGUAGAGGCUUGGUUAGUUGACUACAAAAGGUCAAUGUGCAAUUUAUCAUCAAUGUUUCAGUGUGCCACAGAACCAACAAAACAUACAUUUUCAAUGCAAAUAAUUGCUCCACUAUUUGCAAAACAUUGUAGGGGAUAAAUGUAGAAUGAUAUAUGACAUACUGAAUUCAGACACAGCACAUCAAAAUGACAUGAUGGACAACUUUCAAUAUAAAUAAGAAAGGGGAGAUGGAACUGAUAUUGUGCAUUCCUUCCUAGGAUGUUUACCUGCAAAUGCUAUCUCUGGAAUUGUAGGAGGAGGGAAAGAUGAUGGGAUCUUUGCAGCGGCAAAAAAGUCCAACUUAUUUCUGAACACCUGUUGAUAGUUUUUUGUGAGCAACAACAACUAAUAUUGGAUAGAAAAAACAAACAUAAAAUAUACUACCUCCGUUCUAAAUACAAGACGUUUUGGUAGGCUAAAAUGGCCUACCAAAACGUCUUAUAUUUUGAAACAGAGGUAGUAAAACCUAAAAUCAUAUAGCAGCCAAAAAUAAAUGACUAAAACAAGAGAAACAUACAACUUUCUGCACUGAUUAUAUGUUAUCUUUCUUACACUGUCUUCUAUCCGGUCACGCUCAAUUCUGGUUGAGAAGGGGACAUUAUCCAGAGGAGCAGAAAGCUUGGUAUUGUAGCCAGCAUUUUUUAUGUCAAUUAGACGCCUACGACCAAGUAGCUGCGAAGAGCAGUAAAAUUAUGUUACACAUGCAUUCAUAGAGCGUAAGAGUCAAAGAGGUAUGAGGAGGUAAUUGUGUAUACAUUAUCUUCAACAUAUUGAAGGAUUGAAGAACUUGGCUGUAUGUCACGAAAUUUAGCAUUUAUAGACAUUUCAGUCUCUUCAGGUUCAGGUGUGCUCUUUUCUGGAAUCUUCACUGUUAUGCAAACUAGAAAAAAAUGGAGAUAUUAAAGCAUCAGAUUGAUAAUUAGACACUUUCCUCAUAAGACCAAAAGUUUCGAAUAAGUAAAUAAAUUAUAAGGGCGUGAAUGCUCUAAGACGUUCAGGAAAGUUUUCAUAUUACUAAGGAAACAAUUAAAAUAUGUAGCAAUUUCAUGAAGUUAUCAGUUGAAAGAAGAGAUUUGGAUCAACAAUGUUACAUAACAAAGCAUGCAAAUAUAUUUCUAAAAGGAGGGAAUGGCACAGACUGAAUAAAACUAUAACUUGUAAGUGGUUCUAGUGUGUAUGCAUUUUUUUUAUCUUAACAGGAUAUCAUUAAGCAUAUGCAUAUCGAGUAGUAUACAUAAGUUGCACUACAUUUUCUUGACUUCCCGAGCUCUAUACCUGCAUUUAAAUAAUAUGGAAUAUUUCUUCUUUGUUAGCAUGAACUUCAGAUAAGAAAUGCAAUGCUACUUUCAGGGGCAGAGCAAGAAACUAUCCAUGAGAGGGUGCCGUUUCACUAUCACAGGAUUUGAGGGGCCGUUUACAUGAAACAGGAUGUACAUAUGCACAAAUGAAUCCUCUGCGGCACUUUAAAAAUGGUAAGAUAGCAUUCGUACCAUCUUGUUUGGGAGUUGCCUCCUCAAUUCGUUUGUUUGAUGUGUCAUAAGGAUCUAGUUUCAUUCGCUUUCUCUUCUUAGGAGGAGCAAUUUCCUCAGAAUCAGAAACUGAAUCCUUCUUAUAGACCCUGAGUUUCUUCCCAGUCUUGUCCAGCACUCGAGUAGGACGCGCACGGGGCUUCUCUUCAGUAUUUUGGCGUGAAUCAUCAGACUUCCUGCUUCCGGCAUCAUGCUCAUCCAAAUCGGCAUUUGUGGCGCCACCAUUUCGACGAUCGACCCUGAUGUCUUUGUCAAAUUUCUUCCACUUGGAGGCUUGUGAAUUCAUACAGACCAUUGAUCGACCCUUGUCCCCUUUACUUCCACCAGAGGUCUUGCUGCUAUCCCUUCUCAUUGAACGGAAGCCAUCAUCUUCCGAACCUCGAGGCUUGAACCUUUCGCCUUCCCCUCUGCCCAUACCAGAACCUUUGCUGCUAUCCCUUCUCACUGAACGAAAGCCACCAUCUUCCAUACCUCGAGGCUUGAACCUAUCGCCACCCCCUCUGCCCAUACCAGAACCAUUGCUGCUACUCCUUCUCAUCGGCCGAAAUUCACCCUCUUCAGAUCUCCGGGGCUUAAACCCGUCGCCUCCUCGAGAAGAAAACUUGCCACGGGUUCCAUCGGAAGGGUUCUUUCUGUCCAUCCUUGGCUUAGAAAACGACGCGGCGUUGUAAUCGCCGUACCCCGAGUCACGAUCAGCCUUCCUCUUCCUGCUGUCAAACCCAGACGAAGCCCUCCUGGCGUCUCCUUGAGACCCUGCAUCGCUCCGCCACCUCUUCUGCUCCGUACCCCCUCCGCGCCCACGCCCACCGCGCUCUUCUCUCUCCUCCCCAUUGCCCCGGCCACCGAACCUGGCCCCUCCUUUCCCUCUGGCGUCCUCCCUCCUGUUCCCCGUCUUCCCGCCGGCCAUCCCGGUCCCGCCGCCGCUCAUGUCCCUCUUGGCGCUCAGCUGGCUCGCCGUGCUCGUCUGCCGCCACUUCAACCGUACACCGAGCGGCAUUUCUUGGCCCCCCUUUGUCUGAAGAAAACCACCUGCACAAAGACGACGACGGGUUAGACGCUCUCGCCGUUGGUCUGGCAGCAUGCGCGCGCGAGCAGGGAAGGUGUUCGGAGGAAUGCCUAGGCGGAAAAGGGGAGGAUGGAAGAGACAGCUGCUGUGGGCGCGGGCGCGCGGGGGAUGGGACGGCGGUGCGCUCACCUGGAGCGGGGGGCGGCGGCCGCGUUGCUGUCGCGGCGGGCGGCGGGCGGCGGGUAGGCGUUAGUGGGAGUGCCAGAACGAACUGAACGGAGGCGCGCGUGUACUGAGGCUUAAGGUUUUCCUAUGGAGUGUUGGAUACAGAUCCGACGGUAGGAAUGGGGUGCGGCGGCGAGCUUAUGUUUGGGCCGUUGUAGUAGUUCCGAAGCACGUGGGCCUGAAUAAAUGGGCCAGUUUGUUAGUCAUUUACCAUUCGGCCUCGCACAAUCCCAAAAGGGAAAGACGCCUGCUACGAGUAAGUCGGAUGAUCUUAGAAAAGAUCAGCCUGCGCAGCCGGCUGAUUUGGGCGUAGGUGGCCGUUAGAUCGCAGGCUCCCAACAUCGUGUCUUCAUCUUCUUCCUUCGCAUUCUUCUCUCGUAGCGCCCAGUCGUUAAAAGCAGCAGGCCCUCCCCGGCAAACAAUGCAGCGUUGCCGUUCGCCGGAAUCUCAUCUGGUCGCAGCAACCUCGUCAUCGGCCGCAUACAAUGCUCCGACGCAACAUCGACCAGCCCGGCGAUGCUCCAAUGCAGCCCCGGAGCCCCGGCAAUGCUUCAUCGCAGCACCGGAGAACCCGACGAUGCCUCGACGCAACUCCGGCGCCUCGGCAAUGCUUCAUCGAAACAACGAUGGAUUUGUGAAUUUUGUUUGCAUCAUUUUUUUGAUUGCUUUUUGUUUUGAACAUUUUGAAGAAUAUACAUUGAACAUUUUGUAACAUACGUUGAACUUUUUUCAUAUACUAUGAAACAUACAAUUGAACAUUUUCUUAAUAUACUAUGAACAUUUUAAUAUACACGAUGAACUUUUUUUAAUAUAUGGUGAAAUUUUUCGAAAACAAAUAUGAAUGCAUACAUUGAACAAUUUUCACAUACACAUUGAGCAUUUUCUAAUAUAUGUUCAACAAUUUUUUUUAAUACUAAUUGAAUGAUUGGGUAACAUAUGCAGAACAAAUUUGAAAAAUACAGCGAACAUUUGUAUAUUCGUUGAACAAUUUCAAUAAACGAUGAACAUUUUUAUAAUGCACGAUGUACUUUUUGUAGUGGAGAAUGAACAUUGUUUUAAUAUACGAUGAACCGUUUUGUAAGACGCGGUGAACUUUGUAUAAUACACGAAAAAAAAGAAAAGAUUAAAAGGAAAAGAAAAGAAACGUAAUAGAAAAAAAACUAGAAAAAAAGGGAAAGAAAAAGGGAAAAGAAAAAAGGAAAGGAAAAAGAAGCAGAAAAAAGAAGAAACAACAGGCGACUGUGGGCCUGCCCAAACUUGGGCGUCGGGAGGCCGUGCUUCAAGAAGCCACGCCCUUUUGAUGCUUACGAGUGAGUGUCAAAUAGGAAUCACCUUGUUCUCUCGUCGAUGGGAUAUGACGCGUUCUGUGCAAAGACACGGGCAAUUUCUUUUUAUUUGGCUCAGAGGAGGGCAAUUUCAAACCCUAAAAUUUAUCUGCCCAAGUUUGCUACUGCGAGUUGUCAUCAAUGUUGAAGUACGAUUAAAGCCAUGAUUGCACUUUUAGUAUCCAAGAGAUACACUUUGAACUUACCUAAUCAUAUUCUACAAAACAUCAUUGAGAUAUUUAUUACACGAGAAAAUUUUGUUUUUGCCACUUUAGAUUUUGCCAAUUUUCCUUAUGCCACUCUAGAUUUUGACAUUUCACUUUUGCCACUCUUAGUUUUUGACAAUUAUCACAAUUGCCAUUCUCGUGGCAAAAGCAAAAUUUUCAGAGUGGCAAUUGUGAUAAUUAUCAAAAUCUAAGAGUGACAAAUAUAAAAUAAAAUUAUUUUAUUUUUGCCACAAAAUGGCAAUUGUGAUAAUUGUCAAAAAUUAAGAGCGGCAAAAGUGAAGUGUCAAAAUCUAGAGUGGCAUAAGGAAAAUUGGCAAAAUCUAAAGUGGCAAAAACAAAAUUUAAAGUGGCAAAACAUGCACAGUGUGUAUUAAAUAUCUCUACCAUGAUAUACCACACAGAUAUAUCUAUACAAUACAUAGUCUGUGCAAUGUCAAAGCAUAAUUCACAGUAAACUUUUGUUACACAUUACAAUUUAAAUUUAACACAACUCAAAGUUUAAAUGAUAAUGAUAUAUGUAUAUACAUAUACUACAACUACAUAACAAAUAAACAUAAUAAUUAAUAUUUAGCAACAUCAUUAUGUGAUUGACUAUGUCAACUCAGUAAUAGACAAAUUAUAGUAACUAAAAAUUUAUCACAAUAAGAAUAAGUUACAAAUAAGUAGAAAAGUUAAAUAUAAAUCAUGUUUGGUUUAAUUUUCAUAAAAAAAAUAAAAAAAUUGCACCAUGAUGAGCAAAAGCUAUACCAAGAACCUUGUUUACUAAGAAGACACGGACAAUAUACACCUACACGGUGAGAUACCACCGAAUGAAGAUAUGACUGGGGCAUAGAAAGUAAAAGGGAUCCCAGACGUUGAUGAUGUGAGUACCAACACUAGACAAUGCAAUGCCCUUGACUGAGGGACCACCAAAGUGACGGUGCAGAAAAUGAGGCAAACUGCAGCUCGACUACCUUCUUCUCUUGUGUCUCUGCCACCAAUGGUCAUGUUUCGUCAAACUUUCAUCACAAACAAUAAAUCGUUGGGCACAUAUCUAACAACAUAAUGCAUUAUUUCAUGUACGGCGAUGUGAUGUGCACAAAAGAAGACAACGCUCCACUGUUAACUUUUUUGGUGGCUCCGCCUGUUAAUGACUUAACAAAAAAAUGAAACGAAAAUAGAACCGAAGGACCUAACUAGCAACAAGUAAGAAAGAUGACACCCCGCCACGGGUCUACCCCCUGGUCAUGCCAGACAUAGCCGCCAUGUCGCCGCCUCCACGGGACCUCCCUGUCCCAAGCUCGCUCCCAUGUCGUACCUCGCCACAAGCUCACGGUCAUGCCGGUCCAUGGCUAGGGGGAGAAAAAAAUGAAAAAAAAUCACUCAGAUAAAUGGACCCUGCAUGUAUUGGAGAUCUUCUUCUAGGAAUGUCCGGAAAGGAAUGGCAGCUCCCCCACAUGAGUAUAUCACACAAGUUGUAAUUAGUAUAAGACCGAUUCGAAAAGCAGUCGAGAUUCACUGACUUAGGGUCAAUCAUGUGCAUCUCUGCCUGGAGAAUGUUCCACUCAACGCGUGGAACGAGGAGGUCGUGGGCAAGCUCAUCGGCGGCGUGGCCGUCACGCACUACUUUGAUGCGGCCACGACCCAGAAAGAAGACGCGUCGUCGCUCAACCUCUGGGCUUGGACGGCCAAUCCAUCAGCGAUUCCCAAGGUCAUGUGGCUGACACUCAUCGGCGGCAACGCGACCGGCAGCAACAUCAUCGUCUCCAGCUCUGAGCCGCUCCCUGGCUUCAACUCUGCUGCAGCCAGCUCUUCCUCAACACAACAGCAGGGGAGGCUUGGGCUCACGUACCGGGUGAUCGUGCAUCUCGACCUGCAUGAAGACUUUGGCCAGGAUGCUUCAACACCGUGCUACCAGCACCAGUUCGACUGGCAAUAUGGGAUCAUUGAUGGAGAGGUUGCCAUCAGGGAGAGCAACCAAGGUGGACGGCGCAACAACGACAACGACCGCCGUCGCCGCGACGAUGACGACAAAAGACGCCGCCGAGACAGAGACGACGCAGAUUGGCGUGGGCGCCCAGGCGAGCGCCAAGGGUCAUGGUCCGACCGCUUCUUUCGUAGUCGCUCGCGCGCUGCGGAGGGGAGGCGCGACAGGGAGGGGCGACGGGAUGAAGGAAGGCAUGCUGAGGACCGUCGUGAUCGUCACCGGGGUGCCGCACCUACGCCGGUGACAGUUGUUCAAGGGGAGAGCACGCCGUUGGCCAGGCUACAUCGUGAUGCUGCUGGUGCCCUGGUGUGGCGUCGCAUUCAGCAGCCUGGGGCUGUAGAAGCUGGCCUGGUCACGCUGCCUACUACCCCAAUGCAGGAGCGGGGACGCAGCCCCCAUCGUCAGGUCUCACCACACGCGGCCAGGCAACGGUCUCGCAGCAACCUCACGCCACCGGAAUCUCCCUCUUCGGUGCUUCCGGCGAUGCCAAGCUCAAAGGGCGGCCAUGUCCCGCCAAUGGACGUGCUCUUCGCCGGCGUUCAGGCGGCCCUACAACUAUGUUCACCGUGCCGUCUCGUCCAACCUCUGUCUGUAGUUACGCCGCCUUGUCCACCUGGUUUCGAGGCUCCCGUGGAGAGUGCGGUUGUGUCCGUCCCGACUGCCACUGAAGAAGAUAGCUCGGACAUCUUGGAUCCACUCUUUGUGCAGGCCUCAGCGCCGCUGCUGCUUUCGCCUCCUGUCCAGCAGUCAAGGGCACUCACCAACAGGCGCAAGACUCUGGCCGGGAUGGACAUCGACCGCAACGGUGGGUUCUCUCUUCGGCGGUCUAGUGCAAGAAUCAAAGCGCACCGCCGGGCCGCCCCUGCUGCUAAGGAGGCCCAGGCUUUUGUGUGCCGUGGUCUGGGAAUCGUCAAAGAUGGAGAGGAUGUUACUGAGCGCGCGAUGAAAGAGCUCGCCGACCAGUUCAAGGAUCAAGUCCCAGGAACGGUGAUCUCUGCACUUAGGGCACUAUUCCAACUUGACUAAGAGCAUCUCCAACAGCCGCGCUAUGCCCCGUGCGCAAAAAUCCUGUUUGCCGUGCGCGCUUCGGCUGGUUUAGCGCGACCACCAGCGCUGGCUUCAGCAGCCGCGCUAUAAUGCAGCGCGCGCGCCGCUCCAGCCGAGCGCAAAAAUACAGCGCGCGCGCCGCACAAACCACAUAUACAUUUCAAAGAAGAAGAGCAAAAAUGAUCAAACAAACAAAAUAAAUCAACAAUAAAUAGUUCAAUUUCGUUAUCAUUACAACUCAAACAAAUAGUUUAUUGUUCAGUACAACAAAUAAUGCAAUAAACACAACAAAUAGUUCGUAAACAAUACAAUGUCGAAUGCAGAAAUCAUGAUGCUCUUUGUCGUCCAUAUCAUGCCCACCACUCUUCAAUCAGAUCAUUCUGAAGUUCAUUGUGCGUUGCAGGACACCAAAUGGCAUGAUAGGAGGCAAUAAAACGGGCUACCCUUUCAGCCCUCCGUCGCACUCGUACGGGAUGUCCCAGGAGUUCAUACUGUGAGUAGUCUAAAUCUUGGCCACGCUCAUUCUCGAUGAUCAUGUUGUGCAUGUUCACACAAGCGUGCAUGAUGUACCAAAGCAUUUUUUGAUCCCAAAAUCUAGCCGGUCCUCUCACAAUAGCAAAUUGGGCUUGCAAAAUCCCAAAUGCUCUCUCCACAUCUUUUCUAGCCGCCGCCUGAGCAUUGUGGAAAUCAAGAUUUUUCUUACCUUCCGGCUUUUUCAACAGCUUCACGAAGGUUUGCCACUUUGGAUAGAUGCCAUCCGCUAGAUAAUAGUCAUAGUUGUACGUACGACCAUUUGCUACAAAAUGCACAGGUGGCAACUCACCGUUUGCAAUCUUAUUCAUCAGUGGUGACCGGUUGACCACAUUGAUGUCAUUCAAAGAUCCAGGCAUUCCAAAGAAUGCAUGCCAAAUCCAAGUCUCCUGAUCGGCCACCGCUUCAAGGAUUAUAUUGGAACCCUUUUUUUGGCCAUGGAAUUGCCCAUGCCAUGCCUUUGGACAAUUCUUCCAACUCCAAUGCAUGCAAUCUAUUGAGCCAAGCAUGCCAGGAAAGCCGCGCGCUUUGUUCAUCGCCAAUAGCCUUGCGGCGUCUUCAGCAGUGGGAGAUCUCAAAUACUCCUCGCCAAACACUUGCACAAUUCCCAUUGCAAAGCGCUUGACACACAUGAUGGCUUGGCUCUCACCCAUAGCCAAGUGAUCAUCAACUAGAUCAGCCGGGAUACCGUAUGCCAACAUACGCAAAGCGGCUGUCACCUUCGGAAAGGUGAUAUGCCCGAGCUCUCCGGCGGCAUUCCUCCUUUGCUGGAAAAACCGGUCAUGGCUCGCUAGUUUCUCUGCAAUGCGCCUGAACAAGUCGGUGCUCAUCCUAAACCGGCGACGAAAAUACGACUCCUGGUAUGUGGGAUUCUCCACGAAAUAGUUCUUCAUCAAUCUGUUAUGGGCAUCAAUCCUAUCUCUCCAAAUUUUCUCUCGACCCAUAACUGAACCACCGUGCUUCGGUUUUUUAUUGAUAUGCAUAGCUAGGAUCAUUGCAAGAUCCUCCUCCUCUUCCAUAUCAAAUUCUUCUUUGGAAGAAUCAAACGACGAACUCAUCUACAAUGUUCAAUACUAUACUAUUAAAACUACAAUUCAAAACAUGCACCAAAUUCAUGAAGUUUGAGCAAUACAUACCUUGUAGGCGUUUUGUCGAACACCUUGCGGGCGCGGUGCGGAAGCGAGCGCUCGGGCGCUGUUCCUCGGACGACGGAGGCGCGCGAGCGUCGGCGGGACUAGGAGGGAUGGGGCGGAAGCGCGGCGGCGCGGGGAUAGGCCGGGGAAGCGCCUGAAUGGUCGCCGGGGGGCACGGGCGGCGGCGGCGGUGCGGCCGGAUGGGGUGGAAGUGGGAGAGGAAGUGCGAGAGCGAGUGCCCGAGUGUGCCGCGCGCUGCAGCGGGCGCCCGAAAUACACCGCGCGGGGCAGUGUUUCCGACAGCGCGCCCAACUCGUUAUAGCACGCGCGCCGUUUUUGCGCGCCCGCUGGAGCGACCCGCCGUGUUGCACGCGCGCUAAAACCGACUAAUUUGCGGCGCGGCGCUAGUAUAGCGCGGCUGUUGGAGAUGCUCUCAGGCCGGGCUGCUGAAGUGGAGGACACACUGCUGGAGCAUGGCGGAGCUGUUGCACUGGACCAUGACAGCGUCGUCGGCUCAGAGGUCGGCACUGGAGCCUGAAGCAUUUCAAAGGCUCACCCGUUGUAGCUUUUUAGUUCAUCAUGUUAGCAAAACUAUAUGUAUCUCUGUUAUGUUGUGGGGCUCAUGUUUGUGUUAUGAAUCUACCCUGUUGGCAUCAGCUGCUGUCCAGCAUGCUGGUUCUGUUGUGCCCUUUGUGGCUGCUAUGUGAACUUGGCCUGGGAGGCUACUUUAUGAAGACUGCUCUGUUUCCCAAUGGUAGAACACAAGAUUAACAUCAUGAGUUGGAAUGUCAGGGGGUUAAACUGCCCUGACAGACGUGCGACGGUCCAUGAAACAAUUUCCGCUUCUUCUUGCCACAUUGUUUGUCUUCAGGAAAUGAAAAUGGCAUGUAUUGAUCAAUUCCUUGCUUGCUAUCUUGGCGGCAACCGGCUCCGUAGAUUUGCUCAAAGGCUCGCCAAUGGCACUCGCGGUGGCUUAGUCAUGCUCUGGGAUGACUCUGUUGUUGAGGUUUCAAAUGUGAGGACCUCCGAAUUUUGUCUCUCCGCCAACGUAAACAUCCGCAACUCUGAUUCACAGUUUUUGAUCACAUCCGUCUAUGGCCCAACGGAUUCCGGCCGGAAGAAUGAUUUUUUCGCAAAGCUGGUGGCCCUGAAGCCAAAUGCCGGAGUCAAAUGGCUUGCUCUCGGUGACUUUAACCAAAUUUACCGGGCGCGAGACAAAAAUAAGAGAAACAUCAACAUUAGCCGGAUAAACCAAUUUAGAGCAGCAUUGAAUCUUUGUGAGCUCAAGGAAAUCCACUUACAGAAUCGUCGGUUCACUUGGAGCAAUGAAAGGGAGAACCCCACCUUGUGCAAACUCGACUCCUUCUUUUGCAAUUCUGAAUGGGACAUACAUUUUGACUCACACAUCUUGCAUGCCCUGUCAAGCUCCCUGUCCAAUCACUGCCCCCUUCUUCUUGCCGAUGACAGUGGCCCUCGGCGACCUCGCACGUUCAAGUUUGAGAAUUUCUGGACAAAGAUCCCAGGUUUUAUGGGUGUUGUGCAGCAGGCUUGGCAAGAACCAAUCUCUCACUCGGAGCCCUAUCAUGUUUUAUUCCAUAAGCUAAAGAAUACGAGCUUGCAUCUGUCUAGAUGGAGUAAGGGACUCUUCUCCAAGGCCAAGCUUCAUCUUCAUGCGGCCUUGCUGAUCAUCCUUCAACUUGACAUUGCUCAAGAAUCUCGCCCUCUCUCUCAUGAUGAGCAGGACCUCCGGAUUAGGCUGAAGAGGCGGGUCAUGAGCCUGGCUGUGUUAGAGAGGGCGCGUAAGAAGCAGUGUGCUCGCAUUUCCAACAUCAGAGAGGGAGAUGCUAACACCAAGUUUUUCCAUCUCAGGGUCAACGGUAGACGGCGCAAGAACUACAUACACCGGUUAAAGCAUAACAAUGGGUGGGUCACCGACCACUUGGAGAAGGAAACUAUUGUGCAUAAUCAUUUCUCCAGCGCCAUUGGAAGAGGCAUGCCAAGGAGUCGGGAUUUUAAUUGGGCACAUAUUGAAAUGGGCCAGGUUGAUUUGGAAGGUCUUGAUUCACCUUUCACUGAGGAGGAGGUCAAGUGCACCAUUGAUCAUAUGCCGUGCGACAAGGCACCCGGCCCAGAUGACUUUACCGGGGCUUUCUUUAAGUCUUGUUGGGAUAUCAUUAAGGUGGAGGUCAUGGUUGUGAUUCAUAACUUUGGCAACCUACAUGUAGACAACUUCCAGUGGCUCAACUCCGCUAAUAUUAUGCUUCUGCCCAAGAAGGAUGGGGCAGAAGACAUCACCGAAUUCCGGCCCAUUAGCCUCAUCCAUGCCAUUUCCAAGAUUGUCUCCAAGAUGCUUGCAGUGAGGCUUAGCCCACACAUGAACAACCUCAUAUCCAACGCCCAAAGUGCUUUCAUAAAGAAGAGAAGCAUUCAUGACAACUUCAUGUACGUUAGAAACCUUGCACGCCGCCUCCACAAGAAUAAGACUCCUUCACUCCUUUUCAAACUGGACAUCCGAAAAGCUUUUGACUCGGUCCGGUGGGAAUAUGUCCUUGAUAUUCUUCAGCGGUGCGGCUUCCCUAGCAGAUUUCGUGACUGGAUUGCUGCCCUUCUUAGCACCUCAUCAUCACGGGUGCUCCUCAAUGGGGUUCCCGGUUCUCCGAUUAGCCACGGGAAGGGCCUUCGGCAAGGAGACUCGAUGUCACCGCUUCUUUUUGUUAUUGUGAUUGACCCGCUACAACAACUGCUCAACUCAGUCACGCGGAUUGGACUUCUGCACAAGAUUAGAGGGCGUGGCACCAUUAUUCGGACAUCACUCUAUGCUGACGACGCGGCUGUCUUUGUGGCGCCAAUUCGGGAGGAUAUUAGAAACCUGACCGACAUCCUAGAGGGGUUUGGUGAGGUCACAGGGAUGCACACAAACUUUCACAAGAGCUCUGUGGUGCCUAUUCGGUGUUGGCACUUGGAUUUGGACGCCAUACUUGAGGACAUGCCAGCCACUCGAGCUUCUUUCCCCAUUAGAUAUCUCAGAUUGCCGCUUUCUGUUUGGCAACUUAAGUGAGUGGACUAUCAACACCUGGAGGACAAAAUUGCGAACAAGCUUGUGCCUUGGGAGGGCAUGCAUAUCACCCCCAUUGGACGUGGGGCUCUUGUGAAGUCGGUCCUCACCUCCCAGGCCAUCCACCACCUCACCCCAAUCAUUGUGCCACCAUCCGUUUUCCAGAGCAUCAAUAAGAUUGAGCGUGCUUACCUUUGGGCAGGCACGAAAAAGGUCUCCGGAGGGAAGUGCAAGGUUAAUUGGGAAACGGUCUGUAGGCCUACUCACCUAGGAGGAUUAGGUGUACUACAUCUUGACAAAUUUGACAGAGCUCUCUGGUUGCGUUGGCCAUGGUAUGAGUGGCAUGACCCAACGAAGAUUUGGGUUGGUUCGGGAAACCCAUGCGACAUAGAGGACAUGGAUCUUUUUUAUGCUCUCACUACCAUCACAGUUGGCAAUGGGGAAAGGAUGCCAUUUUGGGACGCGCCGUGGCUUAGCGGCAAGAAGCCAAUUGAUGUUGCACCCCUCAUAUACAAGAUCUCGAAGCGCAAAAGUUGGAAGGUUAGUAGGGCCUUGCACGAUGAUGCGUGGAUCAAGGCCAUCAACAUGCAUUGUGAGCUGACUUGGAAUCAUGUGACCCAAUUCGUCGAACUGUGGUCUCUGCUCUCUCAUAUAAACAUCUCCCAAGAUGUCCAUGACACCAUCAUUUGGAAGCUCUCCCCUAAUGGGGAAUACUCGGCCAAAUCAGCAUAUAAGGCGCAAUUCAUGGGAGCUAUCCUCACACCCAUGAACAAGGUCAUUUGGAAAGUCUGGGCACCCCAAGGUCAAAUUCUUCGCAUGGCUAGCCAUCCAAAAUAGGGCAUGGACGGCUGACCGCCUAGAGCGGCGCGGGUUGCAAAAUUGUGGUCUCUGCCCAUUAUGCAAGAGGGAGUUCGAGUCCGCCGCUCACCUUUUCUACAGAUGUCGGUACACUAGGCGGUUGUGGAGGCUGAUUAGAGAUUGGUUGCAAAUUGGCGAUAUCAACACCAACCAGUGGGCGGCUCAUCACUCUCUCAGUAGUUGGUGGACUCAUAUGGCCAGGCGCAGCAAGGCGAUGGCGACCCCCACCUUGCUCACCACCUGGACCAUUUGGAAUGAGAGAAAUGCAAGGGUCUUCCAGAAGAAAUAGACGCCCCCCCAAAUCAUCUUGCGAAACUUGAAGGAGGAAGCUAGGCUCUGGGUGCUAGCGGGGGCAAAAUGCCUGAGUAAUUUGAUGCCGCGAGAGUAAUGACUUUGUAUUCAGUGGGCCUCAUGUGGCUCCGACUUAAACCUUGUCUCCUCCCUUAAUUAAUGAAUGAGGCAAAUCUUUUGCCUUUGUGUUCAAAAAUAAUAAUAUGUGGACCAUUUGGUUUGUGGCCCCAUAUGUCGUGACCCUAAGUCACCUGACGUUACAGCCAAUUUGAGCCCUAAAGAAAGUGUCAGGAAUUACAUGGACACACAUAUGUGCAAGGAGAGGAAUGUCCUCCGCGAGAAGGCGAACUCCUUGUAUCAAUGCUUAGUAAGUCUAUGAGACCAAAGUGUAUUGGAGAUCUGUUGUGCAACUUCGCGUGCGGGUAGUUUUGUCAUGCAGUGUUGCGGCUCGAGUGCGAGCGAUGGUAUGUCGGGGCGGCAACCCCAUAAGGUUGUGCUCGUGGACCACAUAGGACACGCAGGAGUGGAUGGAAGUCAGGGCGGUCGUCCAAACAUUUCGACAACUUUGAAUGCGCUGACCUCAUGUCGCGUGGGCGGCGAGGUUGCUCUUGAGGUUGGUCAUUGGUGUACCGUGAGUCGCAUUGAGCACGAGUCCAGUGGAGUGCAGGCAUCUUCACCGUUGAGGGAGGGUCCUGGGUUUGCUCCUCUAUAUCAAUCGCAACUUCUUCUCCUCGGCGAUGUGGUUGGAUGCUGGCUAGUUCGGCGGAGCAGGUUACCGUUGACUUGUGUGAGUUUAGUUGGUGUGUUGAUGUGAUGUUUGUCUAGCAGUUGGCGAGAGUGGUCGUGGGCUUGUAAUGUCGUUGUUUGAGUGGACAUGGCUCUGUUUGUAUCAGUUUUUGCCCAGUUUCUGUGAUUAACUAGGCAACAACCAUCUUCUAAUGAAAGGGGCAAAGCUUUUGCCUUGUGUUUCAAAAACACCUCUCCACUAAUAAAAAAUUAUAUUGGAGAAGUCCAAUAGUACCCUAUUGGAGAUGGAACCGGGUGCUGUAAAAUAAAAAAAUGAAAGCAAAAUUUAAAAAAUCUCAAUUUUUUAGGAAACAUUGACAAAUGCUUUGAUAGCUUGCAAAGUUUGAACAUCGCAUGACAUUAAUGAAAAACGUGGCAAAAAAACGAUGCUCCAAAAGUUUUAUUUUCAAAAGCAUUUUGGAGCAUUGUUUUUUUUGCCAUUUCGUGAUGAAACUUUGCAAUCAAUGAAAACAUUUGUCAAUGUUUGCUAGUACCAAAUAAAUUUAGAUUUUUAGAUUUUUAUAAUUUUACUGCUACUUGAGCUCAUGUGAGCUCAAGCCGAGAAAAACACUUUCGAAGUAUUGAGAUACAGCUACAGACGACACAGACAACUUACACAAGGAUCAAAUAUAAAGCAAAAGUUUUUUUUAGAAAAGGAGGAUGACCCCCGGCCUUUGCAUCUGGGAGAUGCAUGCGGCCACUUUAUUGAUUAUUCUUGAGGACCAAAUUAAUAAAAACUUAACCUUUUCCCAAUUUUAAUUCUUGGCAGAUUUUAGCAACUUAGCACUAGUCAAGCAAUCUCAACACAAUUCAAGCAAGCAUGCAAAGAGUAUAUGAGCAGCGGAAAGUAAAGCAUGCAACUUGCAAGAAGAUAAAUGGGAGGAGUUGGAAAGGAGCAAACGCAAUGUUGACACGGAGAUUUUUGGCGUGGUUCCGAUAGGUGAUGCUAUCGUACAUCCACAUUGAUGAAGACUUCAACCAUGAAGGGUAACGGUUGUGCGAGUCCACGGAGGGCUCCUCCCAUGAAGGGUCCACGAAAAAGCAACCUUGUCUAUCCCACCAUGGCCAUCGCCCACGAAGGACUUGCCUCACUUGGAUAGAUCUUCACGAAGUAGGCGAUCUCCUUGCCCUUACAAACUUCUUGGUUCAACUCCACAAUCUUGACGGAGGCUCCCAAGCGACACCUAACCAAUCUAGGAGACACCACUCUCCAAAAGGUAAUAGAUGGUAUAUUGAUGAUUAACUCCUUGCUCUUGUGCUUCAAAUGAUAGUCUCCCCAACACUCAACUCUCUCUCACAUAUUUGGCUAUGGUGGAAAGAUGAUCUGAGUGGAAAUCAACUUGGGAAAGGCUAGAGAUCAAGAUUCAUAUGGUUGGAUUGGAAUAUCUUGGUCUCAACACAUGAGUAGGUGGUUCUCUCUCAGAAAAUGAGUAGUGGAAGUGUAGGCACGUUCUGAUGGCUCUCCUCAUGAAUGAAGAGUGGAUGGAGGGGUAUAUAUAGCCUCCACAUAAAAUCUAACUGUUACACACAAAUUCCCAAACUCGGUGGGACCGAAUCACGAAACUCGGUCAGACCGAUUCAGGUCAAAAUAUGAACGUUAGGAUUUUCGAUGGGACCGAUACAGUCAAUUCGUUGGAAACGAUUUGCUAGGGUUAGGACAUGACGUAAUCUCCGUGUGACCGAUCACAUCAACUCGGUGGGACCAAUUUCAGUAAUAGGCACAUUGAGAGUUGGUCAUGCAAACUCGGUGGGACCGAUUCGCUCACUUCAGUGAGACCGAAGUGUUAUGAAAAGGAUCAGGGAGUUUGCAUUGCAGACCCGGUGGGACCGAUUCACUCAUUUUGGUGGGCCUGAUUGUUACAAAAAAGAAACGGUGAGUUUGCUAUCCCAUCUGGGUGAGACCGAGAUCCCUAAGUGACUAGGGUUUGUGGCAGUGGCUAUGUCAAAUGAAACUCGGUGGCACCGGGUAGAUCAAAUCGGUGGGGCCGAAUUUGACUUUUAGGUUUGGGACAUAUGUGGAAAUGAGAAAGUGGUUGAGGGUUUUGGAGCAUGUCACUAAGAAAUGUGAGCAAGAAAUCCAUUAAGCAACACCUCAUCCCCUUUUAAUAGUAUUGGCUUUCCUAUGGACUCAAUGUGAUCUUGGAUCACUUAAAUAAAAAAGUAGAGUCUUGAGCUUGUUGCCAAUAUGUAUCCUUUGCAUUUUGAGGGGUCGACAUCUCUAGUCCAUGCCAUGCUAACUAUUGAAGUGUCUGAAAUGAUCAUCUUGAAAGAGCAUUAGUUCAAUGAGCUAUAUGUUGUUAAGAAUUACCAAAACCACCCAGGGAUUAGUUGCACGAUUCGGUCCCACCGAGUUUGGUAAGUUGUGUGUAACAGUUAGAUUUUGUGUGGAGGCUAUAUAUACCCCUCCACCCACUCUUCAUUCAUGGAGAGAGCCAUCAGAACAUGCCUACACUUCCAACAUACAUUUUCUGAGAGAGAACCACCUACACUUGUGUUGAGGUCAAGAUAUUCCAUUCCUACCACAUAAAUCUUGAUCUCUAGCCUUCCCCAAGUUGCUUUCCACUCAAAUCUUCUUUCCACCAAAUCCAAAUCCUGUGAGAGAGAGUUGAGUGUUGGGGAGACUAUCAUUUGAAGUACAAGAGCAAGGAAUUCAUCAUCAACACCCCAUCUAUUACCUUUUGGAGAGUGGUGUCUCCUAGAUUUGUUAGGUGUCACUUGGGAGCCUCCAUCAAGAUUGUGGAGUUGAACCAAGGAGUUUGUAAGGGCAAGGAGAUCGCCUACUUCGUGAAGAUCUACCCGAGUAAGGCAAGUCCUUCGUGGGCGACGACCAUGGUGGGAUAGACAAGGUUGCUUCUUCGUGGACCCUUCAUGGGUGGAGCCCUCCGUGGACUCGUGCAACCGUUACCCUUCAUGGAUUGAAGUCUCCAUCAACGUGGAUGUCUAAUAGCACCACCUAUCGAAACCACGGAUAAAAACUCUCCGUGUCUCCAAAUUGCGUUUGCACACUCCAAUCCCAUCUCUUUACAUUCUUGCAAUUUGCAUGCUUUACUAUCCGCUGCUCAUAUACUCUUGUCAUGCUUGGUUGAUAUGUAUUGUGAAUGUUAAAACUUGUGCCAAAACUCCACUUCAACUUAAAGAGAUUAAAAACUGCAACUUUUCUUACUUAGAGUCUAUUCACCCCCCCUCUAGACACCUCUUCUCGAUCCUUUCAGAGUGAUAUCUUCUCUCGGAGUGGUGGUCGGAGUCGGAACCGGAUACCCGUUCACCAACAUGAGCUUGAUGUCUUCAUUUUGUAUAGCUCCUUGAUGACUUGUCCUUCCUUUCUGAAUCCUUGCUUCUUCGAGAGGUUCUUCAUUCAUAGCGAUCAUCUCUACCCCUUCUCUCUCUUGGAGGUGAUUCUUCCCUUUUUCUUCUCCUUUUAGGUGAGUCUUCUCUUCUUUUGUAGGGAGCCGUACACUCAUUGGAGUAGCAUCCGGGUCUUCCACAAUUGUAGCAAUUUCGCUCACGACUAGAAGAUCUUUUGUCAUUGUAGGACCUUGACUUGGAACUUCUUUCCUUGCUUCUACUCUUGUAGAAUUUGUUGAACUUCUUCACCAUUAGGCUCAAUUCAUCAUUGAAGGCUUGUUUCUCAUUUGAUUAUGUAGGAGCAUCACAUGAGGCUUUAUAAGCACUGCUAGACUUGUUGUGAAGCUCUUCUUUAUCCUUGAGUGACAUCUCAUGAGCAACAAUUCUUCCAAUGACUUCCGUUGGCUUGAGAUCUUUGUAAUUUGGCAUCAUUUGGAUCAAAGUGCACACAGUAUCAUAUUUUCCAUCCAAGGCUCUUAGGAUCUUCUUGAUGAUGAAUUUGUCGGUCAUCUCUUCACUUCCUAAGCCGACAAUCUCAUUUGUGAUGAGAGCAAGCCUAGAGUACAUUUCAGCGACACCUUCACCAUCCUUCAUUUUGAACUUGUCAAGCUGACUUUGAAGCACAUCCAACUUGGAUUCCUUGACGGAGUCGGUACUUUGUGCAUAUCAAUCAAAGUAUCUCAAAUUUCCUUUACAUUCUCAAGACGGCUGAUUUUGUUGGAUUCUUUAGGGCACAAUCCGUUGAAGAGAGUAUCGUAGGCACUACAAAAAAAAAUACACUUCCGUGAUGAUACGUGUUUGUCACAGUAGGCCGCGUUUUUUGUCAUGCAUGUACAUCCAUGACAAUUUUAUGACAGAAUCAAGAUAGUCAUACCUGUGCUGUCGUAGAAGUGUUCCAUGACAUUACCAAAAUUAUCAUCACGGAAGUGUCCACUUCCAUGACGAUAAAUCGCGCGUCACAGAAGUGCUUUCGUCAAGGGUGACUGACAUGUGGCAUCCACUGUAACGGAACGCCGUUAAGUUGUCGGGUCGGGUUUUGGAUCCGAUAACCCGUUAACAGCCCCGACCAAUGGGGAUUUUCCACGUGUAAAAUCAUCAUUGGCUGGAGCAAACACGUGUCGGCUCACCGUUGGGACAGAUGUCAUCCACUCAUUGGACCGAAGGCGCCUAUGAUACGGCGACACGUGGCACGACCCAACAGAGGCCCAUUCUUAUGAAAAGGCCGACCCGUUUGACUUGGUCAAAAGGUGGCGGCCCGGCCCACGGAAAGCCUGUUAACGGCAUGUUCGCAUAUAGCCCAUUUACAUCCCGCUAACCCAGGGCCCGUUACGACCUCUCCGAAUUAGGCCCAGUAGCGUCAUUUGGGCCGUCCAAUAUGAUUCCAGCCUGUUUUAACUUCCGGCCCAUGUGUGGCCCAUGACUUCUUUCGGACCAUAUGAGGCCCUUUGUAACUCUUGGCCCAUUAACGGUCCGUGGUGAAACUGGCCCGUAAUGAACAGUGUAUCACUUUAUACCCAUUAACGGCCCAUUAUUCUAUUGGGCCGUUUCCAGCCCAAGUUAUCUUUCGGCCUUCUCAGGGCCCAUUGAUUCUUGGGCUCAUUUGCAGCAUUCGGUUACAUACGACCCGUUACUGUCAUUUUCUGCUUGUGGGCCAAAUUCAGCCCGUCAUUACAGUUGGCCCGUUUGUGGACCGUUAAUACGUUGGGCCAUUUUCAUGUCAAAAAAAAUCCGUUGGGCUGUUUUCAUAGAGUUAUCAAAUACGGCCUAUUAACGGCCCGUUAUGGUCCAUGAAUAGUACGACCUAUGAUUGGCGAAACGAUGAUACGCCCCGUAGAAGGCCCAUGGAUCCUACGGCCCAUAUGAGGCCCAUGGAUCGUACGUCCCAUAGAAGGCCCAUGGAUUGUAUGGCCCGUAGAAGGCGCAUGGACCCUAUAAACCGUAGAAGGCCCAUGAAUCCUAAGGCCAGUAUAGAAGACCAAUGGAUCCUACGGCCCAUAUAGAAGGCCAAUGGAUCCUACGGCCGGAAGAAGGCCCAUGAAUCAUACGGCCCGCAGGAGGCCCAUGGUUACAACAGUCCGUGUGUUGCCAUGAUUAUUUUGGCCAGUUACCAAAAAUAGGCUAUUGUGGCCACUAGAAAAACACAGAAAAAGAACUGCACUGACUACAAGCAAACAACUAAACAAGACAAUAAGGAAAUAAAUAAGCAAGCAAUUAACGCUAGCCUAUUACCUUUAUUACACAUAUUACAUCCACUAGGCAUCAAAGUUUGCCACCAGUGCAAAUAUAGGGAACAAAGUAGCAUAUUACAUACACUGGUCGUCAAAAUUGGCCACCAGUGCAAAUAAACGCGGCAGCAAAACAAGAGGAUAACUGAAACAACUUUAGAAGAGCUCAAGAAACGUUAUCCUGGGUAUCCACCAUGCUGGCAAUAAGCUUAGCAAGCUUAUUAGCUUUGUCCUGUUUGGCGCUAAAAUCCUCCAACGCUUGCUGUUGCACCAGAAAGUAUGCAUCUGAAUGAUCCAGGGACUUCCGUAGUCCUUCCGCUUCUUGUCGCAGCACAGCUGAUCGAUGUAUUUCAGCUUGUAGUUGAGACUCAAGAAACCGAACUGAUUCAGACAGUGAGUUUGAAUAGCUUGUGCAAGCGAUAGUGGCCAGUAACUCGAACACUAAACCAAGACAUGACUUUGGGGUUGUCUUGCUGUCUUCAAGAUAGUCUUCCUUAGCUGUUUUAUAAGCUUUGUUGGAGACUAACAAGGAUGUGUCACUAUCCUAAACCUUAUCUGCAUUACUUCCUUUACCAUUGCUUAAUAAGGCACUCUUCCCCAAUAUUCUGUCAGCAUUCUAAAAGAAGAAACAAGCAGACACAUAACAAGUUUAGCAUGUACUAGUAUAUGAAACUCAUUUCGGUGAACCAGUUCAUUAGUAAGGUGGACAGGAUUAAACUACCAAUUCUUUUAUUGCCAAGUACUAGUACAUAAUAAAAGCAUCAAACAAACAUAUCUAUGUCCUAUGGUCAUUGCAUUGUCUUGCCAAAUCAAAAUAGAGACACGGUUCAAAUCAUAUUCGUUCAAGACAAAGCAGCAGUGAAAGAAUACAAAGCGUGGGAAACUACACGACACAACAAGAUUUCAGAUGGGUACCACGGGUCUACAUGUACAACAACACUAUUGGCUCUGUUGUGAUGCUAGUAAUGUGCAUGAUAUGAAAGUCAACUGUAUACACAAUUGAAAUUGAAAUCAACAGAGCUAUUGAUAAGAGCAAACCUAUUAAAGAAACAUGUGUGAACAUACCUGCUGUGGCAUUGGACUUUCGAUUGGAUCCUUCAAUUUAAAAAUAAGUUUGUAUGAGUAAAUACAGUGAUAUAAGAGCAAAGCAAUCAUAGUUAAAAAAGGCGCGCCUAGGCUCUAGGCGUUGGCAAAACGCAUUGCGCAUAACUACGCUUAAUCUGUGCAUAACUGCGCAUAAGCAUGCGCUUUGGUCAGUAAAGCGCAAGGCAGUGGGAAAACACACAAUUAACACAUAGUGCUUUUUUGAACUAUGAUAGCAAUGGAAUAUUAAAUUAGAACAGUUGUUCUUCAGGUUUAGGCACUUGUUCUACAUGAACAGAGUACAGUAAGAUGCAAGGAUAUAAUACUUAAAAAUAGAAAAGGAGCUCAUAGGCCUUACCACAUUCUUGGUUCGGGACCAGUACAGAACAAGGCGUUCCCAGUCAUCGUCCAGUAGAUGUGUCUCAGGAGAACACAAGGGAAUUUGAUGAGUUUCUUUGCCGGUGAAGUAUGUUUUCUUCAGGUAAUUCCGAUACUGCCACCAAGCAUUCUUGAAGAUAGCAGAGGUAUUAGCACAGGUUACCUCAUCCUGAGUUUCCAAAUCGGUCGUUCUCUAUAGAGAAAAAUGGGAAAAUUUGCUAUAUUAUAACCAUCAUGGAGGUAGGAUGUAUGGGACAAAGCAAAGUAAUUGCCAUGAAUAACAUUACUUACACAUAACUCCUGGACAAACACCUGCAGCUGGCAUUUUCCUUCAUCUUCAGUAUAAUAUUUCCAAGAUGGGAAGAUACACACAUACGAUUUAACAACAUCGAAUGCGAUAACUGCUAAACUACGACUAGCUGGUUGUGCUUCCUCCACAGGAAUAGGCGUACUAACUGGUGGAGUUGGGGUUCGACGUGGUAGUACUGGCCCUUUGGGCACUGGAGCUGCCUUACUAACUGCUCUUGUUUAGGAGCUCUGUGGUGGAGAUGGUGCUGUGUCAACAGGAACUGGGUUACUAUCUGCUGGGGUUGGGGUUAGAUUGGGUGAAGCUGGUUCUCUGUCCAUCGCAGUAGGGGUACAAUCUGCGAGAGUUUGGGUUAUGUGUGAUAGGGCUGGUUCUUGUGCAUGUACAACCGGGGUGCUAUCUCCACCAAGAGGUAGCACUGUUUUAUUUGAAGACUGUGUUUUUAGUCCGCUGGAUACUGGCAUCACCCGCUCCAAUUCAAAUGGCUGAUAAACAGGAAACAUAGUUGAAUGUACAGACAUUGUAUGAGAGACAGAUGCAAUAGAUAGUGUGGAAAAAAGGCAUGAAAUAGUUGACAUGUAUAUUGUUUAACUAAAACGGAUAGCAUGACAUAAUUUCACAUAUAUGAUGUCUAUCUAAACUGGAUAGCAUAACAUAACAUAAUUCAAAGAAAUGAUGAAUAACUAAACAGGAUUGCAUGCCAUAAUUCACCUACAUGGUAUCUAAGUAAUCAGAAUCGCAUCAUUUAAUUCACAUAUGUGAUUUAUAUGCUAAACAGAGGGCAUUCGAUAUGAUGUCUGAACUAAGAACAUGGUGUUGAAUAUUGUGUAUAUGAUGUCUAAACUAUGCAAUGCAAGACACCAUAUGCAUGAUAUGAGCAGUAUAACCGUGCCAAGUUUGAGCAUACACCUCGGUGGGGGAAUAGGACUGGUCAUCUGUCUCUGAAUCCAUCUCUGAGGAGCUAUCAGGACCCAACAAGAGAUCUGCUUCGACAUGUAGCACUGUCUGCUCUGAAGGCCUUGUUUUCAAUCCAGAUUUUUCCAUCUCCCACCCAAAUGGCUAAUUCACAGGAAGAGUAGUUUAAUGUACAAACAUUGUCGACAAAUGGAAAUGUAAUGAAGAAAAGGAUGGGCAAGAUAUCAUUCAAAUAUAUGAUGCCUGGUUAAACAGGAUGGCAUUACACAUUUCACAUAUAUUAUGGCUGGCUAAAAGACAUGAGACUGCACAAUUCCCAUAUAUGAUAUAGAAACUAAACAGGUGGCAUCACAGGACAUGUCUAAACUAAGCAGAUGACAUAUAUGAUGUCAAAAGUAGGCACUGUGAUACGUCUCCGACGUAUCUAUAAUUUAUGAAGCAUUCAUGCUAUUAUAUUAUCCGUUUUGGAUGAUUAUGGGAUUUACUAAGCACUUCUAUAUUAUUUUUGGGACUAACCUAUUAACCAGAGGCCCAUCCCAUAUUGAUGUUUUCUUGCCUAUUUCAGUAUUUUGAAGAAAAGGAAUAUCAAACGGAGUCCAAACGGAAUGAAACCUUCGGAAAAGUUAUUUUUGGAAUAGAAGAUCUCUCGGGAACUUGGAGUGCAAGCUAGGGAAGUAUCGAGGAGGCCAUGAGAUAGGAGGGCGCCCGCCCCCCCUAUAGGGAGCACCCCUGUCUCCUGGGCCCCUCGAGCACCCCCCGACCGACUUCUUUCACCUAUAUAAUCCCAUAUACCCUAAAAACAUCGGAGGAGAAGAUAGAUUGGGAGUUCCGCCGCCGCAAGCCUCUGUAGCCACCAAAAGUCAAUCGGGACCCUAUUUCGGCACCGUGCCGGAGGGGGGGAUCCCUCAGCGGUGGCCAUCUUCAUCAUCCCGGCGAUCUCCAUGACGAGGAGGGAGUAGUUCACCCUUGAGGCUGAGGGUAUGUACCAGUAGCUAUGUGUUUGAUCUCUCUCUCUCUCUCUCUCUCGUGUUCUCUCUAUGGCAUGAUCUUGAUGUAUCGUGAGCUUUGCUAUUAUAGUUGGAUCUUAUGAUGUUUCUCCCCCUCUACUCUCUUGUAAUGGAUUGAGUUUUCCCUUUGAACUUAUCUUAUCGGAUUGAGUCUUUAAGGAUUUGAGAACACUUGAUGUAUGUCUUGCCGUGCUUAUCUGUGGUGACAAUGGGAUAUUCACGUGAUCCACUUGAUGUAUGUUUUGGUGAUCAACUUGCGGGUUCCGCCCAUGAACCUAUGCUUAGGGGUUGGCACACGUUUUCGUCUUGACUCUUCGGUAGAAACUUUGGGGCACUCUUUGAAGUACUUUGUGUUGGUUGAAUAGAUGAAUCUGAGAUUGUGUGAUGCAUAUCGUAUAAUCAUGCCCACGGAUACUUGAGGUGACAAUGGAGUAUCUAGGUGACAUUAGGGUUUUGGUUGAUUUGUGUCUUAAGGUGUUAUUCUAGUAUGAACUCUAUGAUAGAUUGAACGGAAAGAAUAGCUUCAUGUUAUUUUACUACGGACUCUUGAAUAGAUAGAUAAAAAAGGAUAGCUUUGAGGUGGUUUCGUACCCUACCAUAAUCUCUUCGUUUGUUCUCCACUAUUAGUGUCUUUGGAGUGACUCUUUGUUGCAUGUUGAGGGAUAGUUAAAUGAUCCAAUUAUGUUAUUAUUGUUGAGAGAACUUGCACUAGUGAAAGUAUGAACCUUAGGCCUUGUUUCCCACCAUUGCAACACUGUUUACGCUCACUUUUAUCACUUGUUACCUUUCUGUUUUUAUAAUUUCAGAUUACAAAUACCUUUCUCUACCAUCCAUAUUGCACUUGUAUCACCAUCUCUUCGCCGAACUAGUGCACCUAUACAAUUUACCAUUGUAUUGGGUGUGUUGGGGACACAAGAGACUCUUUUUAUUUGGUUGCAGGGUUGUUUGAGAGAGACCAUCUUCAUCCUACGCCUCCCACGGAUUGAUAAGCCUUAGGUCAUCCACUUGAGGGAAAUUUGCUACUGUCCUACAAACCUCUGCACUUGGAGGCCCGACAACGUCUACAAGCAGAAUGUUGUGUAGUAGACAUCAAGCUCUUUUCUGGCGCCGUUGCCGGGGAGGUGAGUGCUUGAAGGUAUAUCUCUAGAUCUUGCAAUCGAAUCUUUUUGUUUCUUGUUUUAUCACUAGUUUAGUCUAUAAAAUAAAACUACAAAAAAAUGGAAUUGAGUUUGUCUCAUACGCUUCAUCUUUUUAAUAUCUUUCAUGAGAAUGAUGGUAAGGAAAAUUGUGCUCAAGUGCUACAAAAAAAAUCUAUAAAACGUUUGGCACUAAAUCUUUAAAUGAUGAGCAUGAAUGCAAUGUUGUUAGUAUGAACUCUUUGAAUAUACAUAGUACUAAUGAUGAUUGCACUAGUUAUGAUGAAAAUGUCUCUUAUAAGCAUGUCAACUUUUGUGGAGUGCAUGUUUGCAUGAACACACCAAAUAGAUAGAUAGAUAUUGCAAGAAGCAUAAGCAUUUAGAAACUAAAUUGUUGCAAGAAAAGUUAAAUGUGAGUGCUGAAAAUUUACAUUUCCUUUGCCGUACUUGUGAACUAUGCAAUGAACAUGGUCAUUUACAUCUCCGAUGCAAAUUAUUUUAUGAUCCAAUCGUGUCCAAAAAUUGUGUUGAUUUGAUUUCCCUUGCACAUUAUAAUGAACUUAGUUUGCUUUUGUGUUAUGAAGAAUUGAAACGUUUAACUAAGAAUCUUCCAGAAUUUGCCCUUGAGAAAUUCCUUGAUAUUGAUCUAGAGGAAAUUUAUAUGUAUUGUGCGGUGAAUUGCAUUGAAAAUCCUUAUAUUGCCAAUUACAUAAAGAAAAGAAAGCAAAUAGAAGAUGAUGAUAAUACUAAUGAAAGGGAAUAGACUUCCCAAUCUCCUCCUAUUAUUUCUUAUGAUGAAUCAGGUAACGAGGAGGAGCUUUCUAUUCAACCAAUCCCAUCAAUAAAGAAGGUUGAACCCACACAUAAUGUGAAGAAGAAAAGGAAGAGAAGGAGCAGCAAAGGUAAAAAGGUAUCCCUAUCAAAUGAUGUUGCUCCUCCUACUCAUUGUGAUGAUGAUAAUUGCUAUACUAUUGGUGCUAUCCAUACUAUUAAUGAUGAGCGUGAUUAUGAUUAUGAUAUGAAAAGGCCCAAGCUUGGGGAAGCUAUGUUUGAUGAGGAUGACAUAUUUGAGAAUAUAUUUGCUGCAAUUAAUGUUUGUCCCAAGCUCGGGGAUGCUAUGUUUAAUGAAGAUGAUAUUUUUAGCCUCCCAAGUUUUGAUAUGCAAAGUUGUUAUGAUGAUAACAUGCCUCUUACUUAUGAUUAUAUUGAUGAAAGUGGGUUUGGAAGAGUGUCAACUUUAGGAAGUAGUGAUCCCACUGUUUUGGAGGAUGUUGAAUCUUAUUGUGAUGAAUAUGAAAGUGGAGUUGGAAGAGUGUCAACUUUAUUUAGUGAUGAUUCCACUAUCUUGGAAGAGGUUUCAAUCGAUUAUGAUGAGAACAAAGUUGCUAGUUAUGAUGAUUAUUGUGAUGAAACUUAUGCUAUAAAAAGUAGUGAUGAUUAUAUUUAUAAAACUUGUCAUGAUUAAGAUUACCCUUUUUUUCUGAACAUUACUCUUUUAAUGUGGAAAUAAUUUAUAGUAUUCAAGUCUCUUAUGAUACUCCCACCAUUCCGAAUGAGAAGAAUUUUGCUUAUGUGGAGAGUAGUAAAUUUUCUAUGCUUGUAGAUCAUGAAAAGAAUGCUUUAGGUGCUGGUUAUAUUGUUGAAUUCAUUCAUGAUACUACUGAAAAUUAUUAUGAGGGAGGAACAUAUGCUUGUAGAAAUUGCAAUAAUAUCAAGUUUCCUCUAUGUGCUUAAAGUUUUAAAGUUAUGCUUGUUUUACCUUCCUAUGCUAGUUGAUUAUUGUUCCCAUGAGUUGUUUGCUCACAAAAUCCCUAUGCAUAGGAAGUGGGUUAGACUUAAAUGUGCUAGUCAUAUUCUUCAUGAUGCUCUCUUUAUGUUUCAAUUCUUAUCUUUUAUGAGAGCAUCAUUGUCAUCAUCAUGCCUAGCUAAAAAGGCAUUAAAGAAAAGCGCUUGUUGGGAGGCAACCCAACUUUAUUUUUGUUCCUUGAUUUUUGUUCAUGUUUAGUAAUAAAUAAUUCAUCUAGCCUCUGUUUAGAUGUGAUUUUAUGUUUUAAUUAGUGUUUGUGCCAAGUAGAGCCUUUGGGAAGACUUGGGUGAAGUCUUUGUGAUCUUGCUGUAAAAAACAGAAACUUUAGCGCUCAAGAGAUUAGCUGCCAUCUUUUACUGGAGAGUGAUUUUAGGUUGAUUAUUUUUUCAUAUGAUUAAUAGGCAAAGUUAUCAGGUCCACCAAUUUAUUUCAGAAUUUUUGGAUUUACAUAAGUAUUCGAAUGAUACAGAUUACUACAGAUUGUUAUGUUUUUGACAGAUUCUGUUUUCUCUGUUUUGUUUGCUUAUUUUGAUGAAUCUAUGAGUAGUAUCGGAGGGUAUGAACCAUAGAGAAGUUGGAAUACAGUAGGUUUAACACCAAUAUGAAUUUAGAAUGAGUUCACAACAGUACCUAAAUGGUGAUUUAUUUUCUUAUACUAACGGAGCUUACGAGUUUUGUUUUGAGUUUUGUGUGGUUGAAGUUUUCAAGUUUUGGGUAAAGAUUCGAUGGACUAUGGAAUAAGGAGUGGAAAGAGCCUAAGCUUGUGGAUGCCCAUGGCACCCCAAGGUAAUAUUCAAGGACAACCAAGAGCCUAAGCUUGGGGAUGCCCCGGAAGGCAUCCCCUCUUUCAUCUUCGUUCAUCGGUAACUUUACUUGGAGCUAUAUUUUUAUUCACCACCUGAUAUGUGUUUUGCUUGGAGCGUCAUUUUCUUUUGUUAGUAUUUGCUUGCUGUUAUCUAUAAUAAUGUUUUGCAUCUUUAUUUCCAAUAAAAAUUUCAAGGAUAGCCUUUACCAUGCUUAUUUUGCAAGUAUACAUGUUGCUGUUUCAAAACAGAAAGUUUAUCGCUGUUGCAAAAAUUCCCUAGAAAAGUCAGAGAGUGAUAUAAUGUUGAAUCUUUUUGCAUAUUGAGCUCUGAUAAAUCUUAUACAGCAUAGUAUUUUUCUUAUAAUUUUUAGAGUUAGGUAAGUAUGAUGAAUCUUGCAUUCUUUACAGACUAUACUGUUUUGGCAGAUUGCUGUUAUGUUUGCAUUGUUUGCCUAUGCUUGCUUGUUUAAUGAUUCUAUUUGAGGAUAGGAGUAUUAAAUAUGCAGAUACAUUUAGUAUCCAAUGUUGAAUAAUAAUUUUAGCAAUUUGUUACAGUAGAACAUGAUAAGGUUUUGCAUUGUUUUAUACUAACUUAUCUCACGAGUUCUUGUUGAGUUUUAUGUGGAUGAAGUUUUUGAGAAAUAGAGAAACCAUGAUAUGAGAGGAAUUAAGGAGACACAAAAGUUCAAGCUCGGGGAUGCCCAAGGCACCCCAAGAUAAUAUUCCAAUAAGUCUCAAGCAUAUAAGCUUGGGGAUGCCCCGGUAGGCAUCCCACCUUUCUUCUUCAACAACUAUCAGUUAGUAUCGGUUGAACCUAAGUUUUUGCUUCUUCACAUGAGUUGUGCUAUCCUUGCAAUGUCUUUUGUUUUGCUUUGAUUUCUGUAUGAAUACAAUACCAAGAUCUGAAAUUCUUAAAUAAGAGAAAGUCUUCACAUAUUUACAUAAUUAUUUAGCUACUCAUUGAUCUUCACUUAUAUCUUGUUGGAGUAGUUUGUCAUUUACUCCUGUGCUUCACUUAUAUCCUAUGAGUAAAUGGUUUAAUGAGUUGAAUGUCAUAAAUCUGAAAUCAUAUAUGUAUCAUUUGCUUAUCCCAUGGGGAGUAAUGACUUCACAUCUAAGAAGUAGAGGUUGUAAAUUUAUUAAAGGUUAGCAAGCAUUGUAUUGGUCAUUUGAACAAUUCAUGAAAGAAUAUUGAAGGAAGAGAGAUUUUACAUAUAAAUAUACUAUCUUAGACAUCUUUUAUAAUUGUGAGCACUCAUUAAGUAUGACAUGCUAAAGAGUUGAUGUUGGACAAGCAAGACAACAUAAUGGGUUAUGUUUUCUCACAUCUCAGUUAAAGUAUAUUGUCAUGGAUCAUUCAAACAUGUUGAGCUUGCCUUUCCCCCUCAUGCUAGCCAAAAUUCCUUGCACCAAGUAGAGAUACUACUUGUGCUUCCAAAUAUCCCUUAAACUAGUUUUGCCAUGAGAGUCCACCAUACCUACCUAUGGAUUGAUUAAGAUCCUUCAAGUAAGUUGUCAUCGGUGCAUGCAAUAAAAAUUGCUCUCUAAAUAUGUAUGAUCUAUUAGUGUGAAGAAAAUAAGCUUUAUACGAUCUUGUUAUGGAAGCAAUAAAAGUGACGGACUACAUAAUAAAGGUCCAUAUACAAGUGGCAAUAUAAAGUGAGGUUCCUUGCAUUAAGAUUUUGUGCAUCCAACCAUAAAAGCGCAUGACAACCUCUGCUUCCCUCUGUGAAGGGCCUAUCUUUUACUUUAUGUCUUUUACUUUAUGCAAGAGUCAAGGUGAUCUUCACCUUUCCCUUUUUCAUUUUAUCCUUUGGCAAGCACCUCGUGUUGGAAAGAUCCUGAUAUAUAUAUAUAUAUAUAUAUAUAUAUAUAUAUAUAUCCAAUUGGAUGUAAGUUAGCAUGAACUAUUAUUGUUGACAUCACCCAAAGGUGAAUACGUUGGGAGGCAACAUUAUAAGCCCCUAUCUUUCUCAGUGUCUGAUUAAAACUUCAUAACCACAAGUAUUGCGUGAGUGUUAGCAAUUGUAGAAGACUAUAUGAUAGUUGAGUAUGUGGAGUUUGCUAAAUUAAAGCUCUGACAUAGACCCUUCCUGAAAAUAAGAUGAAUUGCAAUUAUUUGAUGACUAAGAAUGAAGUUUGCUAGUUUUCAAGAAAGUUUAUGAUCUAUGCUUUAACAUGUGAAUAGCUUGUUACUUGAUCGUGAGAAGUUUUAUGAGAUGAACUACUGUUAUGACAUAUAAACAUGCUAGAAAAGGUGAUUGAAAUUAUCAUUGAUCAAACUUGUGCACCUGCUAGCAUUCAAACUUCAUAAAUUCUUUCUUUUAUCAUUUACCUACUCAAGGACGAGUAGGAAUUAAGCUUGGGGAUUGUCGGUGUCAAAACCGGCGGAUCUCGGGUAGGGGGUCCCGAACUGUGCGUCUAGGCAAAUGGUAACAUGAGACAAGGGACACGAUGUUUUUACCCAGGUUCGGGCCCUCUCGAUGGAGGUAAAACCCUACUCCUGCUUGAUUAAUAUUGAUGAUAUGGGUAGUACAAGAGUUGAUCUACCACGAGAUCAGAGAGGCUAAACCCUAGAAGCUAGCCUAUGGUAUGAUUGUUGUAUAUAUCUAUCGAAUAGCCUGGCCUCGGUUUAUAUAAUGCACCAGAGGCCUAGGAUAACAAGAGUCCUAGCCGAAUACGCCAGUGGGGGAGGAGUCCUUGUCUUGAUCGCCAAGUCUUGCGGAAUCUUCCUGGUAUGCGGCAGCUGUCCGUACUGGCCCAUGAGUAUACGGCCAUGGGGGUCCUCGGCCCAAUCUAACAGAUCGGGAGAUGACAUGGUGAGUACCCCCUAGUCCAGGACACCGUCAGUAGCCCCCUGAACCGGUCUUCAAGUUUAGGGACGCUCCUUGAUUCUUCCGAACCGUUCCUCAUCUUCAGUCGUCGGUCUUGAAAACUGGUUCAACAAAUCUUCUCAUCUUCAAUCUUGAGGAUCGCCGAAAUGCAUUCGACGAGUUUACAUGUCGGGUAUCCGAGGAGCCCCUUUAAGUUUCCGGCCUUUAUCAAUGCCUUGUUAUUUUUAUGCCACACCUCGGGUUUGAAGUUGUUCCCGGGCGGCAGUGUCCUCUUGCGUCCGAGCUCCAACGCCGGAUUGCAUUCGAGGUAUCUUUUGCAGCCAAGCACCAACGUCGGACUGCUUCCGAGCUCCAACGCCGGAAUGUAUCCAAGCUCUAACGCCGGACUGUGUCCAAGCUCCAACGCCGGACAGUAUCUGAGCUCCAACGCCGGACUAUAUCCGAGAUGUCAUAGAUCAUCUGGGUUCAAAAAAGUUUAAGGAGUUUGGCCGAGCUUAAUGCCGGGAAUGCCCUUUAAGGAGCCAGCCACUUGCUUCCGAGCUAUAUGCCGAACUGCUUCCGAGGUGGUUAAGCACCUCGGUCAUGGGCUGAUUUUUGGUCAAUGUUUUUAUUGAUGCAAUUUAUUCUCUGAAGAGAUAUAUAGCCAGUAGCCCUCAAGGUGUGUAUCGGUCUAAAACCCGAGAUGCACAUGAAGGAUGACAUAAGACCGCUGAUCCCCGUAGCCGCUGAGACUCAGGUUGAUUUGCAAAAUCGGUCUUAGGAUCAAGUCCUAGCUCGGCAGAAUACUUUGGGACACAAAAAGCGGCGUGCUCAGUCCUCAAGACUCAGGUUGGGUGCGGCCGACCAACCUGAGGAUCAAAAUUUCCUCGGAGACUGUAUUACACUUAAAUUUUUCUGCAUUGGACAGGCAAUGCAGUAGCCCCCGAGACACUGGUCGGGUGGCAACACCAGAUCAGGGGAUCGAUGUGCCCCUUUAAUAUUUGUAAAUAAUAAGCCCGAAGCCCAGUAGCCCUCGAGCCUUAAUGCGGGCACGGGUGGCCGAAUUAAGGAUUGAUAUCCAUAGUAAAAUCACAAAUUAUGUGUAAUGACUCUAUGUAUCCAAGUACUUUACGUCAUUAAUGCUUGGAUCCGCAUUGUACACAACUUUGUUGACCGACCAUCGGCUUCCACCUCGUCGGCCAAUAGUCGAGGAGUGUUUGUCCUACUUUAUAAAGCCUUUAUGAGGGCAAAGAUUUACAACAAACAAGGCAAUCUGGCCAUACGGUUUUAUAAACAAAGGUAUGCAGAGAGAUAUGUUAUAUUACUGUUUAAUAGAAGAAAUGUCUUCCAAAGGAAAUAGUCCCGCUAUCGGUUCCUUUCUUUGGGUUGUCAUGCUAAGCAUGAUCAUGAGACCUCAGCUCCAAUGUAAGAGCAAAAUAUUGAGGAUUUAGUUUGGGAGGCUAGUUACUAGCCCCCGGUAGUGUUCGGCGACAGUUGAGGUCAAGUCGUAAACACUUCGGCUAAUGUAAUGAAUGGCCCAUCAUUUAACACAGUCAUCGGAUCGCUGACCAGUUUUAUGCUUAUUGUGACAGUCAGUUUUUGGCUUUCUCCACUAAGGUGCUUAACCAUGUGAGCUGGAAGCACCAUCGCAGUGGUUCUCCCUUUGCACACCUAGCCGAACAAAGCGGAAUGUAGGGGGCAAGCGCAGGAGCUGGGCAACCCAACUAUUGACCGAAGACACAAUUCGAAACCGAUGCAUAUAGAGCAAUAUCCGAGAAUGUUUUUGCCGAAUCUCUAAAGGUGUCCGGCGUUGCACUGCGAGACUUGUGCUGAAAACACACAAUAGUUUAAAAGUGCCAUGGGCUUGAAAAGCCAAAAAACUUAUUCAAAAGGUUAAUGUCCGAACUAGAUCAAGUGUUCGGUGCCAAUCCAAAAAUUGGACUUUAGAAAAAAAGGUGCUUCUGCCGUGCUUUAACAUGACACAUCCUAUCUCAAAACUUCAAGCGGGUCAGCCUACGGCUUCAACCUCCUAUCCCGAAGGCGGAGUACUUCUUACUAGGCUAGUUUAGCAAACUAAACUCUAGCGGCUUUGAGAGAGAAAUUAGGCUCCCCGGCUAGUGACCGCACACUUGUGUCGAAAAAAGGAGUGAUAAAUAAUAAUAAAAACUUUGCAACGACUAAGAAGAAAAACACUUAUUAUAAAACGGCUCAAAUAAGCAUAAGAGCCUCCAAGUGACUUGGGUAAAAGAAUGAUUGUAUGUACCGAAGUACUUGUAUCAUAUCUAUGUUCACCCGAACUUUAUACGCGUCUUAACCGACCAUUGGCUUGUCCCUCUUCGGCAAGGGCCGAAAAGUGUUAUGUACUCCACCUGUCGAGAAUAUCGACGGUGUUUCCGAUAACUAGGCAAUCAGGCCAUAAGGAUGUAACAGACAAAGCGCGCUCAGGGAACUUAUGCUAUAUUACUAACAAAGUGUAAGAAGCAUCUUCGAAGAAAAUAGUACCCCCACCGAUACCUUUCUUCGGUGCUCAUUAUUACUAUGAGACUUUGUGCAAUAGAUUUUUUGUACUCAUGAGUUCCGUUGUGUGCCGACCAUCAUUCAAAACUAUAAGAGCGCUAGCUUUCGGCUUCACCCAGUCUGAGGUCCGGCUCGGAUGACCCGAUCAUGACAAUCGCAGAGGUGCUCCCUUUACUCCCUAGCCAAACAAUCGGGAACGUAGGGGUAAACACAGGAGCGAGGCAACCCAGCUUGCAAAUCGCUUAAGUCAAUAUGGUGCAUAUUGUGGCGUAAUACACAAACAAGGAACGAAGCCGUACAAGUAUAAUCAUAUGCAAGAGAAAAAGCUUCAUGAAGGAAGCCCCCAAAUGAAUUGGGUAUUUGAAUUUGCGCGUCACAAACAAAGUUUGGACGAGGAAAUUUUUACAAGCAACUUUUUCCCAACAAAGUAUAAUGCUUGGUCGAGCCGAACACAAGUUAAAAAUUUAAAACUUUGAGCCUGAAGGCAACUUAGCUGGUUAAUAUGUUCGGUAUUGAUGACGCAGUCCGAGCUUGAUGCGGGACAAGGUUCCAUCCCCCCAAGCCGGUCUCGAGGUGGCGGAGCAAAGAGCUCGGCACUCCGAAGUAGUGACAUAGCACGGUCAAUGCAGGACGACAGGGUGAUGCCGAAGUCCCCGGCAUGGGGUAAUGAAGUGUUGACGAAGCCCCCCGUCCAGCCGAGGUGACACCAAAGGAUAUAGUCCGGCAGGAUCAUUUUCCUGUGCACAAAAAAUAGUGCAAACCGGAGAUAAUAGUAAUAAUAAUAAAAAAAAUUCGUUGCAUAACAAAUAAUUUAUGCAAAGUGAGUAAUAAAAGAAAUAUGGCCUGGCGCCGAAGUCAAUGUCGAUGCAGGGUGGCGGCGUGAUGCGGUAAAGGCAUGGCAAGGCCUGAAUUCACAGGUCGGUUCGAGUUCCGGAUGCGGCGUUCGCCGGACUAUGUAUGGAAACUGACCGAACCACCAUGCGACCGCCGUUAAUGCGGCCACCAUUUGAUAGACCUGCGUACAUAUGAUGGACAGACCAGAGUAAUAAUUCGUUGGAAAAAAUGAACCCAAACAAGCAAAAAAUACUAGGAUUAAUAGCACCUGGCUUAUUUGUUGUAGCAAUCCGAAGAAAGGUGAUUCCCAAAAUUGGGACUCGAUCCGCACACCUAUCGCCUGAUGGGCGAUAAAGCAACGGCAUGACGGUGCUGGCAAAGGUUGGCUCGCCGAGGCAAAGCCCUCGGUCCAGCUAACGUGAUGAAGCUGGUCAGCUGGUGAUGCCGAAUUCUCUGAAGUAAGUUAAUGAAGAGAUGGCGAAGUCCUUGGUUUAGCCGAGGUGACGGAGCAGGUCGAUAAGGAGACGUUGCAGCUGCCGUGUCAGCUGAGGUGUUGAAGUAGUUCGGCGUGAUGGACAUCGGCUUGAUGAAGCAACAGUUCGGCCAUGCCGAUGCAGGUCGUAGCUCGUGAUGUGAUCAAUGCUGGCUUGAUGAAGUGACCGUGCGGCGAUGCCGGUGUGCCCGCUCUGUGUAAUCUGUGGGGCGGAGAUGUUGGUGACGAUUUAUCCUUCGCGAUGUCAAACUAUUGUUCGGCUGGCCGAGAUGAUGAUCCGAAGAAAUUGAGCUCGGCUCAACAGAGCGAUGACGUGUCUACCGCAGGUCGGCCGCUGUGGAGUGAUGUUGUCGGGCUGGCUUGACACCGGCGCGACGGUGAAGUUCGUAUUGUAAGAAUACUUUUAACAAUAGUGGGAUGUGUUUGGGAAUAAAACACAAUACCCCAUACGAAAACGUCCUUCAAAAAGGAUGUCCGAAAUCCCGUUCGUAAAGAUGAACUUGGGUCGGAUUCGUUCUCGCGCAGAAAACAGAUCCGAAAAGUGAUGCACUAAUCGGAAGGUUCCUGGAGUUCGGACGGUCGGAUCGAGCUGACUUUUUGGCAGGUGGUAGAUAUGGGAAUUCCGCAACCGAUCAACGGUUGGAUCUUCCAAAGGACGUCCGAGCUAGAUGCUGGACACCCCGCUCCAAACUCGUCCGGAUUCUCGUCCAGAUUCAACAUGGCUCCGGUAUAUCGAAGAUUGCCGGAGAUUCCUCCAUCGGAACUCGACGGAAUUUUUUAGGUUUGUUGUCGAUUCAAUUCCGCACUAUUCCACCGAAGCAAUCGUCGAACCGACGCUCGACGAGGCAGUGACGGAGGACACAAGUUCGCUGUCCAGAAAAACAGCACGGUCGCCCAAGGGCAAUGUUGACGUCGAGCCCCCGAGCUCCCUCGAUGAUUCCUCCAUGAUCUUGAUAGAGAUCAGAGUUGAUGUUGAUGAAGGCCCUCAUCCGAACAUGAUGGUCGGAGGCAGGGCGUAGUCCUUGGUCGAACCAAGGUGACCAGUUGAGCUGGUGACGAAGAUGCCGAAGUCGCAGUUGAUUUGCAGGCGAGCCAUCGACCCUUUGUCAAACACACAACGGAACUCUCAAUGAAAGCACCAAUGUCGGUGUCAAAACCGGCGGAUCUCGGGUAGGGGGUCCCGAACUGUGCGUCUAGGCGGAUAGUAACGGAGACAAGGGACACGAUGUUUUUACCCAGGUUCGGGCCCUCUCGAUGGAGGUAAAACCCUACUCCUCCUUGAUUAAUAUUGAGGAUAUGGGUAGUACAAGAGUUGAUCUACCACGAGGUCAGAGAGGCUAAACCCUAGAAGCUAGCCUAUGGUAUGAUUGUUGUAUAUAUAUCUAUCGACUAGCCUGGCCUCGGUUUAUAUAAUGCACCAGAGGCCUAGGAUAACAAGAGUCCUAGCCGAAUACGCCGGUGGGGGAGGAGUCCUUGUCUUGAUCGCCAAGUCUUGCGGAAUCUUCCUGGUAUGCGGCAGCUGUCUGGACUGGCCCAUGAGUAUACGGCCAUGGGGGUCCUCGGCCCAAUCUAACAGAUCGGGAGAUGACGUGGUGAGUACCCCCUAGUCUAGGACACCGUCAGGGAUGCUGAUACGUCUCCAACGUAUCUAUAAUUUAUGAAGCAUUCAUGCUAUUAUAUUAUCUAUUUUGGAUGAUUAUGGGCUUUACUAAGCACUUUUAUAUUAUUUUUGGGACUAACCUAUUAACCGGAGGCCCAACCCAUAUUGCUGUUUUCUUGCCUAUUUUAGUAUUUCGAAGAAAAGGAAUAUCAAACGGAGUCCAAACGGAAUGAAACCUUUGGAAAAGUUAUUUUUGGAACAGAAGAUCUCCCAGAAACUUGGAGUGCAAGCCAGGGAAGCGUCGAGGAGGCCACGAUAUAGGAGCCCCCCCCUAUAGGGCGCGCCCCUGUCUCCUGGGCCCCUCGAGCACCCCCCGACCGACUUCUUUCACCUAUAUAAUUCCAUAUACCCUAAAAACAUCAGAGGAGAAGAUAGAUUGGGAGUUCCGCCGCCGCAAGCCUCUGUAGCCACCAAAAGUCAAUCGGGACCCUGUUUCGGCACCCUGCCGGAGGGGGGAUCCCUCAGCGGUGGCCAUCUUCAUCAUCCUGGUGAUCUCCAUGAUGAGGAGGGAGUAGUUCACCCUCGAGGCUGAGGGUAUGUACCAGUAGCUAUGUGUUUGAUCUCUCUCUCUCUCUCUCUCGUGUUCUCUCUAUGGCACGAUCUUGUUGUAUCGCGAGCUUUACUAUUAUAGUUGGAUCUUAUGAUGUUUCUCCCCCUCUACUCUCUUGUAAUGGAUUGAGUUUUCCCUUUGAAGUUAUCUUAUCGGAUUGAGUCUUUAAGGAUUUUAGAACACUUGAUGUAUGUCUUGCCGUGCUUAUCUGUGGUGACAAUGGGAUAUUCACGUGAUCCACUUGAUGUAUGUUUUGGUGAUCAACUUGGGGGUUCCGCCCAUGAACCUAUGCAUAGGGGUUGGCACACAUUUUCGUCUUGACUCUCCGAUAGAAACUUUGGGGCACUCUUUGAAGUACUUUGUGUUGGUUGAAUAGAUGAAUCUGAGAUUGUGUGAUGCAUAUCGUAUAAUCAUGCCCACGUAUACUUGAGGUGACAAUGGAGUAUCUAGGUGACAUUAGGGUUUUGGUUGAUUUGUGUCUUAAGGUGUUAUUCUAGUAUGAACUCUAUGAUAGAUUGAACGGAAAGAAUAGCUUCAUGUUAUUUUACUACGGACUCUUGAAUAGAUAGAUCAAAAAGGAUAGCUUUGAGGUGGUUUCGUACCCUACCAUAAUCUCUUCGUUUGUUCUCCACUAUUAGUGUCUUUGGAGUGACUCUUUGUUGCAUGUUGAGGGAUAGUUAUAUGAUCUAAUUAUAUUAUUAUUGUUGAGAGAACUUGCACCAGUGAAAGUAUGAACCUUAGGCCUUGUUUCCCACCAUUGCAACACCAUUUACGCUCACUUUUAUCACUUGUUACCUUGUUGUUUUUAUAAUUUCAGAUUACAAAUACCUUUAUCUACCAUCCAUAUUGCACUUGUAUCACCAUCUCUUCGCCGAACUAGUGCACCUAUACAAUUUACCGUUGUAUUGGGUGUGUUGGGGACACAAGAGACUCUUUGUUAUUUGGUUGCAGGGUUGUUUGAGAGAGACCAUCUUCAUCCUACGCCUCCCACGGAUUGAUAAACCUUAGGCCAUCCACUUGAGAGAAAUUUGCUACUGUCCUACAAACCUCUGCACUUGGAGGCCCAACAACGUCUACAAGAAGAAGGAUGUGUAGUAGACAUCACACAUCAAGGCAACAUAUGCAUGAUAUGACUAACAUCAUCAUGCCAAGGUAGAGCAAACACCUUGGGGGGUAAAUAGGAGUGGUCAGCGGCGUCUGAAUCCGCCUCAAAACAGAUAUCUUCCUCUGGAUUACAAUCUGGAGAGGGGUGGGGAGGGUUUGCCAUUGAACCCACCAUGGAGCGAUGUCUGCAUGACAUUGUAUUGCCGCACAAAACUCUUCUCUUUUUAUCUACAUGUUCAGCAUGACUGUGUACAAUAUCUGACAUGCAUACGAAAAAAAUAUGGUGAGAUUAUGUAAGGAGAGCAUGCAGAAAUUUAGAGUGAUGGUAACAACCAGUGGAUGGAUCCAAAAAUAAUGAUAGCAGGCCGAUGAUUGCUUUAAAUUAAUAAAAAGACAAAUGAUGAUUGCUUUACUAUUUGUUUCCCACCUAAGAUGAACAACAUAGGCAUACCCUAGAUGAACCAGAUAUUAGACAGACAUACUAUUCAUUGCUGCCUCGAUAUGUGCCCCACAACUAAUUUAGAACUCAAGUUUGAACAUUAAUUUGGACCUGACUUGGGAGUCCAAGAGCUGAACAGGACAAUAAAGUAGCAGGUAAGUUUAAGCAAUGCAUAACAUAAGCAGAAACAAAAGAGUGCAACCUCUCUUGUGGACCCGUGUACUCCUCAGGUUCAUCUGCUGAGUCAAUGAUGGUGAUGCCAUUGCGGUGGGUGCCGGCAGCAGGGAAGGAGAUCUGAGGCGGCGAAAGACGGUCAGGAGUCGUGAUGUCUGGUUUGGUGGAUGCUUCUGUCGAUGGAGCAGCUCAGGUGAGGUGGAAGACGUCGCGGCAGGAGCAGGACAAACCACACAAAGUUCCCUUCGACACGUACCUGUAACUGAAGUAAUUCUGUAAGGGCUCAUUUGGCUUGCAUGAUUCUUAAAACGCAGGGAUAGGAAAAACACUGGAAUAGGAUAGGAAAAUGCACAUGGUAAACAGAGCAUUUGUAAACACAGGAUUUCUGUCAACUUGGGUGUUUGGUUUACAGGAAUUGGAAGAGCAGAGGAAUGCAAAGAAACAUGGCCAAAAUAAAGUGAAACCAUAUGAAAGCAUGUACAGUUAGAAUGUUAUUCUGGCACUAAUGCACUUGGUCUUGUUUUCAUGCAUAUGAUUUUGAAAAGUAGGUCUAGGUGGAUGUUUUGCUUCAUUCCUUUCAACAAAAUGCAUGGAUAAUUGAAUAGUAGAGUGCCAUUGGAAAAUUACCUAUUGCUAUGUUUUUCCGUUGAACCAAAAUAGCCCUAAUGGAUCGAAGUGAAUGUAUAGUAAUAAGUGAUGCAACAAGUGUACAACCUCUUUGCCGUUGCCGUGUCGACCUCAUCAUCAUUGGGUUGGUCGCUGAAGCAGUUGAGGCAGAGGUGGCUGUCGGAGGUGUGGAGGAAGAUCUUAGGAAUCUGUAGACGGCGUCCAGGGCACUGCUCUGUUGUGAUGGAUCGUUCUGUCGUUGGAGCAGCCCCGGUGAGCCGUAAGACGUCAAGGCUGAAGCAACACAAGACAUGCAUCGUCAAUCUCAAGUGGGAUUCUAAUAGCAUCUCCAAUAGAUGAUGUAAAAUGGAUGUAAAAUUUACAUCAUCAAAAACCACCUGACUACAACAGAUGAGGUAAAAACUGUUGACUCUAAACUUAACUGUCAAAACUGAAAUUUACUGUGGAAUCUGAAUGCUAUUGUCGAAACUGAACACAAUGGUAGCAGAGAGGCACUUGCCAUGUAGUUUAGGGAGGGCCUACAGUUAUCUUCAACCUGCACCCCCCUGAGCCACCAGCCACCACCGGCCGAACUGUCGGCCCCAGCGCUGCCUCGCCGCCCUGAAACAACUCCCCACCGUUGCCCCGGCCAGCCCUCUAGGCCCCCCGCCCCCACCCUGAACCCUAAGAUAGAUAGUGGGGUACCUCUCCGGCGAGCCCCCGUCCCCGCUGCGAGUGGUUCUUCCUUAACUCUGGCGAGCCCCCCCCAACCCCUGAAAAUCGACUGACCCAAAAGUCGAUUCAGUCGACUGAAGUGUGGCUAAAUCAGAGCAGAGCAGUAGCACGAGUGAGGGGGAGAGCAGCAGCAGCAGCUAGGCGAACGAGCGAUCGAGCGAGAGCCGGAGCAGCAGCAGCAGAUCCAGCUAGUAUGGCCGCCGCCGCCAAAGGGGCCUCGCACUAGGGGAGAGCCGUCGUGGAGAUGCGCGGCACCGACUUCAAGGUAGCCGCUCCAUGGGGGUGUGGGAUGGAGCACCAUCAUCGCCGGGAGGUCGAGUUAAUGAGAAGGUGCGAUGCGAUGAGUGUACAACCUCUUUGGUGGCGCCGAGUAGGCCUCGGCUUCGUCCGAGGAGUCGGUGAGGAUGUUGCGGUUUCGAUGGAGCAGGUUAAGGCGGCGCUGUGGGGAUGGAGCAGCCGCGAUAGACGAUGCGAUCGUCAGAGCAGCUCCUUGGAGGUGGAGGACGGGGCGGCUAAACCGGCGGGAUGACGAAUCCUCAUCCGGGGAGGUGGACAAGGUAUGUCGAGCUGUUGCGGUGGACGACGUCGUCGGGGAAGAGGCUUCGGCUGGGCAGUGGUGAGGUGGCGGACGGAGGAGGGUGGGGUUUCACGGCUGGAGCGGAGAGGUUAUGGCGGCCUGGGAUUUCGAAUGGCGAAAAGGGGGCGAUGGGCGGGGGUGAAGCAUGACUUAGGGACGCGCUUGUCCAAAAUGUAGGGUCUGUUACAAAAGUACCCCCCACCAAUUUGAACUAGCGGCCCUUUCGGCUCAGGGUUAGAAGGGGGAUUUCGUGUGUCAGGAUUUGGCAGCUGGAGGGAGUUUUCGCGCGCGUUGUAAUUUCGGGAUAGCAAGGCGUGGUUUGUGAAGGGACCAGUUUUCGGAGCACGAUAUCUGAAUUUUCGGGAUAUAACAAGACGCGGGUUGAAUUUUAGGGACAAGCCUAACGUGUAGUAAUAUUGUACUUGUACGUACCAAAUCAAUUCGCACUUCCCUCAACCAAAAAGAAAACAAAAAAAAAUAAAAC
rnacentral:lncRNA from 1 species